rnacentral:lncRNA from 1 species
UUUUAUGUGGUCAGCAACGAGCCAACGACUCAACAUUGGUAGUAAAUCAGCUCAUCAUCGCUGGUGAGUCAAUUAUUAAGAAACUGGCAUUGCAGCGGAGAUAACCGGAAACAACAAUACGGAAUGUGGACAAAUUCAGCGGCGUAUUUCCACAAGAAGGGACCACUGGAAUUGAAUUGGAAGCAACGGUCUGUGCUGAAUUCUUCGAUAUGAUCAACUCUCGCGUCAGUGUACCAAUUUCGGCAAGUAGGGGCCGACUCAGGAUUAGCCCAAAGCACAGACCUCACCUAUGGUAGGCCUUGCACGGUAAUUACUCACUUAAUAAGGCGUACAUGAAUAUUCAACUAUUUAAACAUCUGACAACUAAUUAUUUUAUUAUAGGUUAAAUUUAUUUGAUAAAAAAUAAUAUCAUUGGAGUGACAUUUGAAUUUACUUUCAUAUGAUAAAAUUUUUUUAGCGUAAACGUUGUAAUAUAUGAGAAAUUUAAAGAGAAACAUAAUUUUUGAAUACCAUGCCAAGUUCAACAGCUCCUUAUUCAGUGGGACGGAGGGAGUACGUCGUAGGCUAAGUUCAGCAUUCAACUUUCCCAACUUAUAUAUAAUACCUUGUUUUCCUUGCACAUGUUUUCCAUACUGUUAAAUAAUAUAUAUUUUUUUAAAAAAAGUUUCUAUAGGAAAGUUAUUUUAAAAAAACAUAUUAAUCUAUUUUUAAAUUUAUUUUAAUUAAUAUUUAAUUAAUCAUGUGCUAAUGAAUUAUCUCGUUUCACGUGUGGGGAGGUGGACUUCCCAACCUCCACCUCCAAACAUAGCCCUAAUAGGUCUCCAAUAAAUCCAAGGCCUCGGGCCACGUCCUGGGUGGCCCGAGGCUUGGGUCUACCCCUGUCGGCAAAUGUAUAUUGCUCACUAUGGCAUGUCCCCUCAUGUGGCAAGCGACCACUGCUGCCACAACCGACGAUGACAACCUCGAGCUGAUGGCGUUCGUGACACGUGCGUUAAUGUUAAUGGCUCACCGCCACCGCCGGUGGCUUUGGAGUAGACGUGGGGAACCGAUUUGUUCCCGUGUGCUAGUGGCGCCACGUGAUGUAUGGGCCCCUGGUUCUCUGCCGGCUGUCAUGUCGCCUCUGCUUGCCUUAAAGCACGGAUAAUAGUGGACUAUAAGUUAGUUAUAAGCUUAUGUGGAGGAGAGAUAAAAAAAUAAGGAGUAUUGGCUCUUAUGUAAGAACUAACUCUAGACAUGUCCUAAAAUAAAUGCAUUAAGGCUGUGUUCCCAACCUCCCUCUCUCGCUUACCACUCGCACGCUUUUCAAACUGUUAAACUGUGCAUGUUUUGUAAAAAUUUUCUAUACAAAAGUUGCUUUAAAAAAAUUAUAUUAAUCUAUUUUUAAAGUUUUUUUAAGCUAAUAAUUAAUUAAUCACGUAUUAAUCUAUUGCUUCGUUUUUCGUGUAGGAGGCACCUAGCUAAGAACACAGCCUAAAUACAUAAGUGAAAAAAAGAUAGAGGGAAAAAAAUAAACACAACCUUAUAGCCACUCAAUUGUACUUGUUAGUUCUAAUAUAAGCUUAUAGUCAGUAGUUCGUGACUUCGUUCUACUAUUUAAACUUGAUCAUAUAUCCUGUAGUUAUGGUUAGACCUCUCGAUACGUUAAUUCAGUAAAAAAAAAUCGAAUCAACUGAGACUGAAUUACUCUAUCUUAACCAAGACUAAAUUCGGAUUUGCUAGUUAUCAGGUGACUGAGAUUUUCUCCAAAUCUAACUUACCUUCUUCUUGGGAGCCACAACCUCCAGCAAGGACUACUAUGGAAAGAAAGAAAAGGACGAGAGGUGUAACCUGACUAACUUCAGAGGGAUGGUGGCUUUGAGUGGCAGCUGGACAGAUGAUGGUGGUUCGCGGCAGGGCGAAACCAACAGGUGGUUAAGAAUUUAGGGGACGGAUCCGACGGCGAGCGGAGACGAGGAAGCAUUCCCUGUGAACUUUGAUUCGAAGUCGUGAUUUGACCCUUACCGGACUUGUUGUCAUUGACAAAGGAAGAAUGGAAGCAAAGACAAUGUUACCGCCUCGCUGGAAAGGCGCCCUUGACCGUGAAAUGCCUCCGCGCAAGCCUUGUUUUCAAAGAAAGAUCUCGUGAUUGUACACACGAAAUUUUCAUGGCGCAAUACAUCUGUGAUUCUUGAGAACUAUCCCUGUUCGUGAAUCCUUUAUAGUAUUUAUAUUUGUCACCGUUAACUAUUACGGUUGCAACUUUAACCACUAAUAUUUUGUUUUCAAUAAUUAGAUUAUGAUGAACAAAAAUAUAGUUUAAUACUUUUGUUUAAGUAAAUAAUACACUUUGAUAGCAUGGCUAUUAAAGUAUUUAGAAUCUUUUUUUAAAAAGAAAAAUUAUCAAAGUUUAAAUACGAAUAGUGCUUGGUGACAGAUACAAAGGAAUAGAUGGAAUAGUAUUUAACUUGUUCAACAAGAUGUUGAAGUGUUUGAUGAAAUUUCGUACCAAAAAUUCAUAGAAAAAUCAUUGGGGAUUAAUUUUACGUGCCAAUAACAUUUGCAACCCUUAUUUACAAAAUACAUUUGAGGGACGGCUUUAUGAUAGGCGAGCCCAAAAAUUCCAAAUGUCGCGAUGGUCCGAAUAUAUUCAAUAUUGGACUUGUCAUUUUAUAUUUCAAAUAAAAAAUAAUGGUUCAAACGGAUUUGAAAUACAAUACAUGAUUCCAAAUUUCUAGGCUGUUCUAGCGGUAGUCCUUGUUGAUGGCUGCUAAUUAGUACUCUGAUUGGAUUGAUUAUCUCUAGCAACUGUGGGCACACGACCAAUACAUGCAUCUUGACAAUUUAAAUUAACGCGUGAUUAGCGGCGGGGUUUGCUGACACGGUUGAGAGCAUGUUGAAUAGCAUACUAUAAACCAGCUAUACACAUUUUUUAAGCAGAUAAAAGAUGAGAGAUAAAAAUAGCGGACUACAGAUUUGUAGCCAGCUAUAGCACGGACUCCAAGACACAUUUUAUAUAUGAUAGAUGAGAUCAUAUAUUAAUUGUGUAGUAUAUAUUUAUAGAUAAUUAUUAUAUGAAUUAGCUAUUAAGUUAACUAUAAACGAUUUGGACCAAAAGUUAGCUAUACUAUUAAACUUGCUCUGAGAGUCAUGUGGCAUGUGCUGGUCACGGUGAAUAUUAUGUCGCGCGUACAGACAAAUAUUGGGAGGAAUCGGGAGAAGGCUUUAUAGCUAGUGAUGGCGCAUAGCGGCACUGUGCAGAACUGCAGAUGCGCAGCCCUGCACUGCACACAUGUACAUCCAGAUCAAUAUAGUUGCCAAAGUAAUCGUCAAAAGGAGUAUGCUUCAUCGUCGCUGGUGCAACACCGAACUAAUCAUUCGUCUUCCGUCGAGUCGCGCUUCAUCAACAUGAUUUCUCCGUCAACCUAUUUAUCAUCAACAACACAACAGCAUCACGGUGCUGUGCGCAUAUUUGCAUAUAUAGCCCGGUAUUAUCAGAGGGAUCAAAUAUACGCUAUAGUGCUGUGAGGUCGCGAAACCUGACCGACAGAAAAGUAAAGUAGAGCACAUAUGAAUAUAUCAUGGAUACGUUGUGAACUUGUUGUCAUGGAUACGUUGUGAACUUGUUGUCAUGGAUUUAAGUAUCCCAGCGACAGUAAACACAUGCACACGUCAUCUUUAUUAAUCGAUUAACAUGAGCUAAAAAUAAAUACAAGGCUAGUAUGACCCUCACGAGCGUUGGACCGUCUAACUUAUCAAAUAUCAGAGCUGGAUAUUUAUUUGUAUAAAUUUGGGAGGAGUUUGAGCCUUAUUGACAAUAGACCAACCAUGAUUUAUGCAUAUUUAUAUUCUUGUUCGUGAUACAAUAUCGAUGUGAAUAUCUAUUUGUAUAAACUUGGGAGGAGUUUAAGGUGGUGUUUGGAUUCAAGGACUAAAUUUUAGGACCUGUCAUAUUGGAUGUUUGACACUAAUUAGAAGUUUUAAACGUAAACUAAUGAAAAAACCCAUUCCAUAACCCUGGACUAAUUCGCGAGACAAAUCUAUUGUGCAUAAUUAAUCCAUGAUUAGCCCAUAUAAUGCUACAGCAAGCAUGUUCUAAUUAUGGAUUAAUCAGGCUUAAAAAAUUUGUCACGUAAAUUAGCUCUCAUUUAAUACUUCUAAUUAAUGUCCAAACAUCCAAUAUGAUAGGGACUAAAAUUUAGUACCUGAAUCCAAACACCACCUAAGCCUUAUUGGCGUCAGAUUGUUGACAGAAAACACGUGGCCUGGGAGAUCUGCUUAACUCCAGUGCAGGUCCAAAACUCGCCUUCGGAUGUAUUAGCGUGACAGUUGAUUUGAUCCUGUAAUCAACAAGAAAUAGAAACAAAGAAACCGUAGUUAAAUCUAUAAAUGAUAGCCGAUCGGCUAGAUGCCGAUGACAUAUCAUUUAUCUUUGGGCCGAUGUCAUCCAUGUAUCGAUCGGCAGUCAUAAAUAAGUAAAGAAGAACUAAAUCUACUCGAUCGGCUAUAGAUAUUAACGAUAUAUACUCCUUAUAUCGAUGUAUACUUAAAUCAAGUGAUUGGGAUAGAUUGGUCAUCAUGCCGAGACAGUAUAAAUCACUUAGAUCGAAAUAUAUGUCAAUAAUAAGACUAUAUAUGUUUAUAGCAUAGACGAUCAGAUAGAUCUAGCAUGUAUCGGCUAAUACUCCGAUACUACUCUAUAUCAAGAUAUUAAAGCAAGUAUAAUAUAUUGAGCAAAAGCCUAACAUACUUAGAUACAACAAUAUCUUAACAUAAAGGGCAGAUUUAACAUGUCAAUAAGGCAUAUAGAACAAAUGAAGUUAAAUCAGAUACGAUCGGCUGAAACUCCGAUGCUAUUCUAAUCGGCAACUAGAAGGCAGGCUAGAGAUCGAUAUUCUAAGCACGACUUAAUAGAUCAAACUCAACUGAUGCAGCAUUAAGUAUGAAAAGAAGAACAAUUUCUAGACAAUCAAGCCGCUAGAAGUUUCAUAGAAUGGUAGAUAUCUCAUAUAAUCUAGAUCAAUAUCAAAAUCUAACCUAAUCGGCUGCCCUCUGCAUACAGAUGUUAGCCGAUAGUAGAUUAGGUGGCGAUAUUGCUAGAGAUUAUGUAAGGUAUAUGAUAACUCGAUGAAUUAUAUAAAUAAGAUGAGAGUAUCAUAAAGAUGGAAGCACUAAUCCUAAGAACACAAUCCGUCAUAACGAAUUUUACCUCUUGUUGAUGAUCGAAAUCGAUGCAGCUCAACCCGAAAGCAAGAACUCGUCGAAACUAAAGCAAAAAGGGUGGCGAUGCGCCGAGAUUGUAUUGAACGUGUGUGUUAAAAAUUACAUAGGGCUCGGGGUCUAUUUAUACCCGAGGAUUACAAGAUAUGCCUAUACCGGACAUGACCACUAUCUCUAACAAACUCUAAGAUACCACAAGUCUUUGCGGCAGACUUUUGCCCACACUUAUCUAUAAGAAAUUUACAUAAAAUAUCCUAAUUAAUAGAUACAAUUGCCUUCCCAGGACUCCAUCCAUACGUGACAAUCAUCUUGAAGUACAUUAACUUGAACCCGAUGUCGCGUACAAGUCAUAUUGUCGGAAUCGGCUAUAUCGGCUUAUUUAGCUCGACUCAGACUCAGCCGAUCCCAACCGUAGCCGAUCCGGGCAUCAGCCGAUUCCUGCUUUGUUUCCGAACUCGAUCUUCUCUUCCGACUUUGCUUCGAUCUAAUCUUCUCUCCGAGGCUGAUGUUACCAAAUUUGGUUGUUAACACAGACCAACAAGGCUCAAACUGAAUUUAUUAAAAAAAUGCAGUUUGUUGAGAAUGAUGACCGAAAUUAACUUAAAGAAAUAGGGACUGUCUAGUAUUGUCAACUAAAAAAAUCAUUUAAUUUUUUGAACUGAUUGUACAAGAUUCAUGCGGAAACACGCAACAACCUUAACCUCACCCUUUUUUUCCCUUUUCCUUUUCCCGUGUUCACUUAGGCUCCGUUCAUAAGUCCUAGUUCCUAACUUCCUCCGCCUCAUUUUCCGCGCGUACGUUUCCCAAACUGCUAAUGGUACCUUUUUUUUAAAAAAAAAUUUAUACGAAAGUUGUAUAAAAAAUCAUAUUAAUUAUUUUUGAAAAAAAAAACUAAUACGUAAUUAAUCACAUUCUAAUGCAUUGCUCCGUUUUCCCAUUCCAGCGAACACAGCCGGAGCUAGUCCUGCGCAUCCGCAUCUUGGAAGAAGAAACGAGCAAAAUACAACACGCAAAAGAGUGUUUCCCUAUGCUGACGGCUCACGUCUUCUUUUUCUUUUUUCGAACGACUCACAUUGGAUGGUGCGAAGUUCUAUUGAUAAAACAGGAAAAAAUUAAAAGAUUACAAUCUGUAAGGUCGUAACCAGGAAAAACAAGGCUUAAAGUCUUCAAGAUAAGUUUUUAAAACGAGUCCAAGCCGCCGGGCAGACUGCGAAUUUGCAAACCCGUCGAAUGCCAGCCAGUGCACCCACAACUUGUUACUUGGCUUGAAUCAAACUACACAGUGGCAAGUGCUCCUUCCAGCUAUAUAUUAAUCACAUCAUAACCUUCAAUUUGCCUUAAGAGAUAUAGCAGAAAAGAAAGGACCAACCAACAGCGGCAGCAAUGGUGUUGAUCCACCAUACCCAUGACCAUGAGCUUCUCUUGCUCGCCAUCAUCAUCUUCCUUUCGUGCUCUAACAAUGGCCAUGCCUCCCGGCCUCACCUUCUUCAUCCACCACCACCAACGUCACCGACCGCCUUGCGCUCAUGUCAUUCAGGUCGCUCAUAAGGAGUGACCCAACCCAGGCACUCGCAUCCUGGGGCAACCAAUCCAUCCCGAUGUGCCAAUGGCGUGGUGUGGCGUGUGGGCUGAGUGGACGCCGCACAGGCCGUGUGGUGGCGCUGGACCUCACCAAGCUCAACCUUGUAGGCGCCAUCUCACCUUUGCUCGGCAACCUCACAUACCUGAGGCGGCUCCAUCUCCACAAGAAUCGCCUCCAUGGCGAGAUACCGUCGGAGCUCGGCCAUCUCCGAGACCUGAGACACCUCAACCGCAGCUACAACUCCAUCCAAGGGCCGAUCCCAGCGACGCUUUCAACCUGCAGAGGAAUGGAGAACAUUUGGCUCUACAGCAACAAGCUGCAGGGCCAAAUACCAAGUGAGUUUGGAUCCCUGCAAAAUCUUCAGGCACUUGUUCUUGGGGAAAAUAGACUUACUGGAAGCAUCCCUUCAUUCAUUGGAAGCCUCGCGAAUCUGAAAUUUCUAAUCCUAGAAGAAAACAACUUUACAGGAGAAAUUCCAUCAGACAUAGGCAGACUGGCCAAUCUCACUGUUCUAGGACUAGGUUCUAAUCAACUCUCAGGACCAAUUCCUGCCUCAAUAGGAAAUCUCUCGGCACUACAAUUUCUUAGUGUCUUCUCUAAUAACCUGGUAGGAAGCAUCCCACCGAUGCAACGCUUGUCCUCUCUCGAAUUCUUUGAACUAGGGAAGAACAAUAUCGAAGGAAGCAUCCCAACUUGGCUGGGAAACCUCUCAUCAUUACUUACUGUGAAACUUGGAGGCAAUAGACUAGAUGGGAACAUCCCUGAAUCACUGGGGAAACUGAAGUUGCUUACAUCUCUUGAUCUAUCAAGUAAUAAUCUAGUGGGCCCAGUACCUGAUACUAUUGGAAACCUAUAUUCCAUUAAGCAGUUUCAUGUAGAAAAUAAUGAGCUAGAAGGUUCUUUACCUUCUUCAAUAUUCAAUCUUUCCUCUCUUGAAGAACUCAACUUACAAACCAACAACCUAAAUGGGACCAUUCCACUUGACUUAGGCAACCGCCUGCCAAAGCUCCAGUUAUUCCUAAUAUCUGAAAACCAGUUUCAUGGCUCAAUUCCACCCUCCCUGUGCAAUAUUUCUACGCUUAGAUGGAUCCAAACAGUAAACAAUUCUUUGUCAGGAACCAUCCCCCAAUGCAUAGGAAUCAACCAAAAGAGCUUAUAUUCCGUAACUUUUGCAGUGAAUCAGUUUGAAACGAGUAAUAAAUAUGGUUGGAGCUUCAUGUCUAGUUUAACUAACUGCAGCAAUUUGCGACUACUUGAUGUGGGUGACAACAAGCUUACAGGUGAGCUACCAAAUUCAAUUGGCAAUCUUUCCACACGUCUUGAGUAUUUUGUCACCAACUACAACAGUAUGACUGGCAAAAUACCUGAAGGGCUAGGGAAUCUGGUCAGCUUGAAGUUCAUCGAGAUGAACAAUAACUUCUACGAGGGCACAAUACCAGACUCUCUUGGCAAACUCAAGAACCUGAAUAGACUAUAUCUCACUAACAACAACCUUUCAGGAUCCAUUCCAUCAAGUAUCGGCAACCUUCGUAUGCUAACAUUAUUAUCUGUUGCAGGCAAUGCACUUAGUGGAGAAAUACCCCCCAGUCUCAGCAAUUGCCCUUUGGAACAGUUGAAACUCUCAUACAAUAAUCUUACUGGGUUGAUUCCAAAAGAACUUUUCGCCAUCUCUGUCUUGUCUACUUCUUUGAUUUUGGAUCAUAAUUUUAUAACUGGGCCUCUGCCCUCUGAAGUGGGUAAUCUAACAAACCUUGCAUUACUUGAUUUCUCUAGCAAUUUGAUUUCUGGAGAGAUCCCGUCCUCCAUUGGUGAGUGCCAGAGUCUACAAUAUCUCAAUACAUCUGGAAACUUACUCCAAGGGCAAAUUCCACCAUCACUAGAUCAACCAAAGGGCCUCCUGUUGCUUGAUCUUUCUCAUAAUAAUUUAUCCGGAAGCAUCCCUAAGUUCCUUGGGACCAUGACAGGGCUUGCUAGUUUGAAUCUUUCAUUCAACAACUUUGAGGGUGAUGUCCCAAAAGAUGGAAUCUUUAGCAAUGCGACUCCUGCUUUAAUUGAGGGAAAUAAUGGCCUAUGUAAUGGAAUCCCUCAACUGAAGUUGCCACCCUGCUCUCAUCAGACAACAAAACACAAGAAGCAAACAUGGAAAAUUGCCAUGGCAAUUUCUAUAUGCAGCACAGUUCUAUUUAUGGCAGUAGUAGCCACAUCUUUCGUGUUCCACAAACGGGCCAAGAAGACAAAUGCAAACCGACAAACAUCACUUAUUAAAGAGCAGCAUAUGAGAGUUUCUUACACUGAAUUGGCUGAAGCAACAAAAGGUUUUACUUCUGAGAACCUCAUUGGAGCAGGGAGCUUCGGCUCUGUGUACAAGGGAAGAAUGAAAAUCAAUGACCAACAAGUAGCUGUUGCUGUGAAAGUGUUCAACCUCAAGCAGCGUGGUUCAUCUAAGAGUUUUGCAGCAGAAUGUGAGACUUUAAGAUGUGUUCGACAUCGGAACCUUGUAAAGGUACUGACCGUAUGCUCAAGUAUCGAUUUUCAGGGCCGUGAUUUCAAGGCCAUUGUAUACAAGUUCCUACCGAAUAGAAAUUUAGAUCAAUGGCUACACCAAAAUAUCAUGGAAGAUGGUGAACACAAGGCAUUAGAUCUCAUCACGCGACUAGAAAUCGCAAUUGAUGUGGCAUCCUCACUUGAAUAUCUUCACCAAUAUAAGGCAUCGCCAAUCAUUCACUGUGAUCUUAAGCCAAGCAAUGUUCUCCUCGACGAUGAGAUGGUUGCACAUGUUGGUGAUUUUGGCCUUGCAAGAUUUCUUCACCAGGACCCAGAGCAAUCAAGUGGUUGGGCAUCAAUGAGAGGCACAACUGGUUAUGCUGCUCCAGGUAAGCUCCUAAUUGUUGUAGCUUUUUUUUAUCAUAUUUCAUAUUAUAUGUAUCCUACUAUGCUGGAUUCAGCCAAAAUGGAGUAAGACUUAUUGGUACUUCAUUUUACUACAUAGACAAGUUUUGAUGAAACUCUUAUUUCCCUAGGAAUUUGAAAGGGGAAAAAUGAACAAGUAUAUGGUAGCAAAAUGUUGUAUCCUGUAAAUGGAUUUCGCACAAACAUAAAUAGGCUUGUGGAGUUAUUUUCUCAUAAGCCAUUUCUUAUUUUUAGAGUAUGGACUGGGCAACGAAGUCUCAAUCCAUGGCGAUGUAUAUAGCUAUGGUAUAUUGUUGCUGGAGAUGUUUAGCGGGAAGAGACCAACAGACAGCGAAUUUGGAGAAUCCCUUGGCCUCCAUAAUUAUGUCAAUAUGGCAUUGCCAGACAGGACGGCUAGUGUCAUAGACCUUAGCUUACUAGAAGAGACAGUGGAUGGCGAAGCAAAGACAUCAAAAUCUAACCAGACAAGAGAAAUGAGAAUUGCUUGCAUUACCUCAAUUCUGCAUGUUGGAGUUUCCUGUUCAGUGGAGACACCAACAGAUCGCAUGCCAAUCGGAGAUGCCCUGAAAGAGCUGCAGAGAAUAAGAGACAAGUUCCACAGGGAGUUGCAAGGAGCAGGAGCGACAAACCAUCAAGACAUUCAAAUCUGUUGAUGCGCAGCAACCAACCGGAUCAAUAAAGGCGUAAAGAGCUGCAAGAUUUCUGCUACUCCUUGCCAUCUAGGCUAGCCAAAAUAAAAUCAUAAUGUUGCAAAUUACAAAGUUUGGCAUUCUGUUUGAUCCUUGCCAUGAAGAUCUUGUACAUACUAUGAACCAACCACAUCUUGGCAAAUCACAUUAUUAUAUGCUUUUCCUUUGUUGAUAUUUCUUCCUCACAAAACCAUAUAUGCCUUUCUAUUCCCCUUUUGUAAGUGACACAGUAAACCUAGUCGCAGUGAAUCUCUAAAAAAAAAAAAACACUAUACGCUUGCAUCUUAGUUUAACUACCCGCAGGAUUCCAUCCAUCCAGGUGAGUUCCCCUUCCUUUGUUUCCAUUAGGUAAUCACAGAAUCACAGUAGAUCACUACAUAUAUAUGAACGAAAGUGGGGAAGAGGGCGUUCCUUCACCUCCGGGGUAGCGAACGCGUCACGCUAGAAGGAGAAGAGGCGUGUCGCGGGCGCGGGCCGGGAGCUCCGCUGCCGGCGCCGGGGUUGCGGCUUCACGGCGAGCUUCGCCUGGAUGCGGGGCCAGUGGCGCUCGCCGCCGACGGCGUCGGAUCUCCGGUGGGCCGUGGGGCGCCGCGUGGCGGAGAGAGAAAUGGGAGUGAGGGAGAGAACCCACCGAAGCAAAAGGGGAGAGUAGAUUUGGGCUUUGGGCUUUGCUUAAUGGGCUAUUCCCCCUAAGGCCGACACGCAUGUGGAUCCAUGAAUUUUGGAGGGUUUUUGGAAAAAGUACACCGAAGGUCCCUCAACUUGUCAUCGAAUUACAAAAUCGUACUCCAACCACAAAACCAGAUACAAUACAGGAGAUCCUUAACCCUUAACUUACAAAACCAUUUACUUCAGUUCCUUCGGUGGUUUUAACUUAGGUGGCGGCUGAGUCAGCGUGGGACCCACGUGGGCCCCACAUGUCAGUGUGUACAGUCAGCACCUCUCUCCUUCCACUGUUUUCUCACCCUCCUCUCUCUCACUCGGGCAGGGCAGCGGCAGGUGGGGAGGAGGCCGGCGGGUCGGCGGGGCGAGGCAGGAGAGGAGGUGCGGCAGCUGGCGGCGGCAGCGGGAGCAUGGGGAGGCCCAGCUGCCCGUCUGCCCCGACGCCGCCGCGGCGCGCCGUCGUGGUUGCGGGAGAGGCUGUCGACGAUGAGGAAGAGCUGGGCAGCGACGGUGGGGAGGUGGGCGUGGGCGGUUGCCGGCGGAGGAAGAGAUGGGCGGCGGCGACAGUGGGCGAGGAGCUGGGCCGUAGAGGCGAUGUGUCCGGCCUGUACUUUGAUCGUCUCAGGGGCAGUACUAUCACAAUUUCAAGUUCACCUGUCUCUUUUGUUCUUGAGAGAAGUUCAGUUGUUUCCAACGAAAGUCAACGCUUUGCUCCUCUCUCAAGGCCUCGAUACAGGAUUUUUUGUUUGAAAAGGAGGAUUUUCGGUAUUGAUUCCAAGUCAAUGGUACUAGUUUUGCUCAAGUAAACAAAAGCACAAAACACACAUACAUGUCGAGUUCUAACAUGUUGCUAGUGGAUGAAAAACGCCUCAGCUUUUACAGUUAGUGUCAUGAAGAUCUGCUAGAUUUUUUUCUUAUGUCCUGAUGCACUUGUUUCCUGUCAAAUUUCUAUGAAAAUCACGCAGAAUUCAUACGAUUUUAGACAGCCCCAACAUUACACACACAAACACAAAUGCAUAUACCAUGCUCAAUGUCCUGCUUGAAUCUCUUGUAUUCCUACAAAACAAUACACAUCCAAUUUCUCUUUACAAUUUACAAAUCACUUUACUGAUCAUUCUGAAAGAUGAUCAGUUGAGAAAUUUGAGGUAGUCCUUGAGGUCCGUGGGGAAGCAAGGGUACUACUGCCUCCAGAACGCGCCGUGCGCUCGCAGCAUCUUCACCGCCUUGUCCUUGGUCGACGGCGAGCUCUCCACCUGCAUCAGCGCCAGCAGCUUCGCCACGGCGCCGCCCACCACCAUGUCCUCCAGCACCCUCUCGGCGGGGGUGGGGGCGCACGCCACCAGCCACAGCACGUUGACGGCCAGCCUCGUGGCGAGCCCGGACACCCGGAGCACGGCGCGCGCCACGGCGGCCACCGCCAGCCCGUGCUAGGCGAAGGCCAGCCGCCCCUCGGGGCACUUACACAGGCGCUUCAGGAGGAGGAGCGACCGCUCGGCGACGUGGCGGUUGGCGUCGAGGAGGAGCACGUCGUCUUGCCGUACCUGAAGAACCACCGCUCCAUGCUGCGGCGGUCGUAGGUGACGCCGGUGGCCACCGUGACGGGGUCCUCCAUUAGCUCCAUCGAGAUGGGGCACUGGAACAGGGGAGGAGGCUCCAUGGCCGUCGUCCUGGUCGCCCGGCGGCCGCCGCCCUCCUCCUCCCACCACCGCGCUCGCCUCCGGCCCCGUGCCGUUCCUCGUCGUCGACAGCCUCUCCCGCAACCACGACGGCGCGCCGCGGCGGCAUCGGGGCAGACGGGGCAGCUGGGCCUCCCCAUGAUCCCGCCGCCGCCGCCGCCGCCGGCUGCCGCACCUCCUCUCCUGCCUCGCCCCGCCGGCCCGCCGGCCUCCUCCCCACCUGCCGCCGCCCUGCCUCGAGUGAGAGAGAGGAGGGCAGGAGGCGAGAAAACAGGGGAAGGAGAGAGGUGAUGGCGUGGACAGUCCGACAGGUGGGCCCCACGUGGGUCCCACGCUGACUCAGCCGCCACAUCAGAGAAAACUGGGUUCAAAACCAUUAAAGGACAUAAAAUAAACGGUUUUGUAAGUUGAGGGAUGUCGUAUAUCUGGUUUUACGGUUGGAGGACGAUUUUGUAUUUCGAUGACAAGUUGAGGGACCUUUGGUGUACUUUUUCCGAGGGUUUUUCAUGAUUGGUUUUAGUGGAUUUUAUCAUUCUUUGGGCUCCUUGCAAUGAAAGAAAAAUCAAGGAAUUUUAAAAGAUUUGAAUCAUACAAUGAAAUUUUCUAUGAGACUCUUUUGGGAUAAAAUAUUGGGUCUCUAAAAUUUAUACUCCUUAUAAAAGGGAGUAAUGGCCCACCACCAACUUUCAACUUUCUUUAAGAGAAAAAGGGACAUAGUCUCACUUGUUAACUACUCAUACCAACUCUCUAUUUUUUCUGGGAAUGAAAAAUGAAAGUUUUACAGAGCUCGCCAACCUUUAUCGCCGCUACUGCCUCCCACGACAGGCUCACUAGGUAUGCCGCCCACCUCGAGCCCACUCGUCACUUUUAUCGCCGCUACUGCCUCCCACGACAGGCUCACUAGGUAUGCCGCCCACCUCGAGCCCACUCGUCACUGACCUCCCACUGCCAUUGCUGUCUCUCACAGAUGGGCCUGCCGAUCGUCAACCUUCUCCCUGCUGGCAAGUUGUUGGGGAAGAGAAGAGAGGUGAAAGUUUACUUACAUGUGGCAUCCAUAAUUUUUUUUCUGAUUAGAAUGCCAUGUCAGUUAAAACAAACAUCCAUACUGUUUUAGAAGUAACUUGAACAGUUUUUGUUAAGAGGAGGGGUGAAAAAUUCCGGUUAUAUGGUUAGGGAUAUCACAUAAACUCGUCGUAAAGAUAAAGGACAGAAAGUGGACUUAUUCCACCUCUGUGCACUGACCGUUGAAGGUUUGAAGAAGCCCAAGAGAGCCCAAAGCAAGGCCCGUUUCUUCUUCUGCGGCGCCCGGCGCUCGGCGCUCGGAUCAAUCCCGCCGACGAGCGCCUCCGGCCGCCGCCUCCCUUCCCCCGCCGCGGGAAGCUCAUGGCCCUUCCAGCGCAGCCGCUCCCGUGUCCUGAACGACCAACCGCCGCCGCCGCCCGGCCAUCGCGUCAUCUUCAUCCACCCUCGAGGCGACCUCCCCGGAGGUAAACCGCUCCCCCCCCCCCCUCCUAAUGCCUGCACGAUUACUACCGAUUCCUUCUACAUAACUAGCAAAGUGAUCCGUAGGAACAUUUCUUGCAAAAUGGUUGUAGAUUCAGUUCUAGGUCGUCAACUCGUCCGCCUUGGAGAAGGGAAUAGAUCUCAUAGAUCGAAUGGGGUUUCUACUUUCUUCUGAACAAUUUUUUUUUUCGAACAAAUGCCCUAGUAUUCAAUUUUUUUUAGCCGCACAGCACUUACAAAUUUGCAAUCAUGUAUAAUAUAGAGCCUCUCUGUAAUUGAUGCUAGCUUUACAUAAACAAAAAGCUGCAGAAUCCGCAGCUUCCGGCACCUUAUUUGUGUGUUCAAUGACAUGGAGCAUAAUAUCAUGCCAUGCGCAAAAAUGAUCUUGGAAUGCUUCAUUGUCUUCAUUGGCUUGAUGUUCCUUCAUUGGACACAUGUUUCUCAAACUUGUCUCUUAUUGCUUGCAACUCCUUCAGAGCGUCUCCGAUUUGCACGCGGUCCGUUGGUGCCUCCUCUGAGCAGGAGAUUCCAAUGCGCAUAACCGAAGUGACACAAGUAAUUCUUAGAUCCUUGCCGUUGUAAGAGUUUGACUUGAUUGCUCCGCCAUCUUCUGUCUCUGGUAGUAACUGUUGAUCCAGAACAUUAGCCGCAUUGUCUGGCAAUGCCAUUUGGACAUACUUGCGAAGCCCAACCGCUUCCCCGAAUUCAUCGUCUGUGGGUCUUUUUCUGGUGAACAUCUCUAGCAACAGUAUGCCAUAGCUAUAGACAUCACCUUGAAUUGAGACUUCAUUGCCAAUUCCAUACUCUGAAACCAACAAAAGGAACUGUGAAGAAGAAGAAAAAAAUGGGUACAUUUCCCCAUUCUACAUAAAAGGGACUUCUGUCGAAAUAUACUCAUAUAAUUAAGUGAGUCAGAUAACAAGAAAUCCUACUUUAGAAAGCAGAUUUCUUGAGUUAUAUACACAGAAGAGAAUACAGAAUUAUAGCAAUUAGAGACUUAGAGGUGCACCUGGUGCAGCAUAACCGACUGUUCCUCUCAUUGAUGCCCAACCACUUGAUUUCUCCGACUCCUGAUGCAGAAACCUUGCAAGCCCGAAAUCGCUAACAUGAGCAACCAUGUCACUGUCGAGGAGAACAUUGCUUGGCUUAAGAUCACAGUGAAUGAUUGGCGAUGGCUUAUAUUGGUGAAGAUAUUCAAGUGAAGAUGCCACAUCGAUUGCAAUGCGUAGUCUUGCAGUGAGAUCUAAUGCCUUGUGUUCACUUUGUCCCAUGAUAUUAGGGUGUAGCCAUUGGUCUAAAUUUCCAUUUGGUAGGUACUCAUAUACAAUGGCCUUGAACUCAUUGCCCUGAAAAUCAAUACUCGAGCAUACAGUCAAUAUCUUCACAAGGUUCCGGUGUCGAACACAUCUCAGUGUCUCACAUUCUGCCAUGAAACUUUGAGAUGCACCACGUUGUGUGAGGUUGAGCACCUUCACAGCAACUACUUGUUGGUCAUUGUUUGUCAUUCUUCCCUUAUAGACCGAGCCAAAGCUUCCUGCUCCUAUGAGGUUAUCAGAGGCAAAACCAUUUGUUGCAUUGACUAAUUCAGCAUAAGAAACCCUCGUAUAUUGCUCACUAAUGAGUGAUAUUUGUGGGUUUGGUUUUGCCUUCUUGUUCCUAUAGUAGAAUGCAAACAGCAUAAAUAUUAAUGUGAUUAAUGGCAUUAUUCUGCAUAUGGAGAUUAUGAUGAUAAGUUUCCUGGAUGCCUUCUUGGUGGUUUGGUUGAAGCAGGGUGGCAAUUUCAUCUCUGGGAUACCGCCACACAGGUCAUCAUUUCCAGCGAGGAAGGUAGCUGUUGCAUUUAGAAAAACGCCAUCUCUGGGAACUUCACCUUCAAAUUUGUUGUAUGAGAGGUUCAAAAUAGAUAGACCUCUCAUGCCCCCAAGAAAUGCAGGGAUGCCUCCAGAUAAAUUAUUGUCAGAAAGGUCAAGCACCAGGAGGCCCUUUAGUUGCCCAAGCGACGAUGGAAUUAUCCCUUGGAGGGAAUUUCCAGAUAUAUUGAGCUGCUGCAAGCUCUUACAUUCACCAAUAGAUGUAGGAAUCUCUCCAGAAAUGUUGUUUGAAGAAAAAUCAAACUCUCCAAGAUUUUUUAGAUUACCCAUUUCAGCUGGUAAAGCCCCCGAUAAAAAAUUAUGUCCCAAAAACAUGUUACUGGACAAAGUAGAAAUGAGAAAAAGUUGUUUAGGUAUCAAGCCAGUGAGGCUGUUAUAUGAAAGAUCCAAUAGUUCUAGAGGACAACUGCUAAGAUUGGAAGGAAUGGACCCAUUGAGUGCAUUUCCUUGGAGUUGUAGUAGAUUUAGUCCUGUAAGAUUGCCAAGAGUUGGUGGAAUGGAUCCAGACAGGUUAUUAUAUGGUAUAGAUAAUUUAUUCAGCAUCUUGAGUUUGCCAAGAGAAGCUGGAAUAAUUCCCUCUAAACGGUUAAUAUCCAUAUAGAGCAAUUUUAAGUUGAUCAAGUUCCCUAUUCCUUCAGGUAUUUUUCCUUCUAUAUUGUUGUUCGCUAUGAUAAGAUAGCUCAAAUGCGAAGAAAGAUUCCCAAUUGAACUCGGUAGCUCACCUUGAAGCUUGUUGUAACCCAAAUCUAAUGCAUUCAAAUUGCUGCAAUUCGCCAAGCUGGAUAAGAAAACCCAAUCAGCAUCAUUUGUUGCUUCAAGCUGAUUUUUUGAAAGGGCCACAACUGAUAAGCUCUUCUGUUGAAUUCCAAGACACUGAGGAAUUCUUCCUGACAAAAAGUUGUAUACUGUUUGCAGAACUUGAAGCAUGGUGGCAUUACACAAGGAUGGUGGGAUUGUUCCAUGAAAUUGAUUGAUGUCUACAACAAACCUUUGUAGAUUCGGAAGCUUAUUGCCAAUAUCAGGUGGAAGAGCCCCGCUGAGGCGAUUGCUUUGUAAACCAAGAUCAUCAAGGGAGGAAAGGUUGAGCAGUGAAGGAGGAAACGAACCUUCUAGUUUAUUAUAAUCCAGACGAAGGCUACUCAAGGCACCAAGGUUUCCAAGAGAAUCUGGUAUGGAGCCUGAAAUAAGAUUAUUUUGUGAAAGAUCAAGGCUAGUAAGCAUCUGAAGUCUACCUAAUGAUUCAGGGAUGUGUCCUGAGAGCCGAUUUUGCUGGAGACUAACAAACACUAGAGAUGAGAGGUUCCCCAACCAUGCAGGCACAGUUCCUUCGAGAUUGUUCUCUCCCAAUUCAAGGACAAGAAGUGAUGAAAGGUUUUGCAGCGAUGGUAUGCUCCCUGUCAACUUUGCAGAAGGGAUGCUAAGGUACUUGAGUGCUGAAAGGUUUCCAAGUGAGGCAGGAAUGGAGCCUGCCAGCUGAUUAGAACCAAGACCUAGUCCAACAAGGCCAGCAAGAUCACCUAUCUCCUCUGGGAUUCCCCCAGUGAGGUUGCUGAAUUGCAGGUUCAGAGUCAUGAGGUUUGCAAGGUUUCCAAUCUCUGAUGGGAUGCUUCCGGUGAGGGUGUUCAUGCCAAGGCUGAGUACCCUGAGGCCGCGCAACGAGCAGAGCUCCGGCGGUAUCUCGCCGUGGAACCUGUUGUUGUACAGAGCGAGGAUCUCGAGGCCGGUGCAGUUGGCGAGCGACGCCGGGAUCUGCCCCUGGAAGGCGUUGUCACUGAGGUUGAGGUGUCUGAGCUCAGCGAGGCCGCCGAGCUCCGGCGGGAGGACGCCGUGCAGCCGGUUGCCGGCGAGGUGGAGCCGCCUCAGGUAUGUGAGGUUGCCGAGGUCCGGUGGCACCGUGCCACGGAGGCCAAGCCCCGGCAGCUCCAGCGCCACGACGCGGCCGCGGCGCCGGCCUCUCGCGCCGCACGCCACGCCGCGCCACCGGCACACGGGGACGGACCGGUUCCCCCACGUCGGCGGCGGCGGCGAGCCACUGCCCGUCGACAUGCGCGCCAUGAACGCCGUCAGCGCGAGGCCGUCGUCGACGUCGACCGCCGCCGCGGCGGCGGCUGCUGCUAGCCACGCCAGUGGCCAUACCGCGGCGAGCAAGAGACGCUUGCCGGCGAGUGCCAUUGGUGUCACUGUCACGUAAGAACGGUGUGCAAACUGCAUGGAAAUUGCUAUACUGAUGCGAGAGUUGAUCAUAUCUGUGCAUAUAAAGCCUUUUUAUAUGAUUAUAGGUACCCAUUUUAUAUCGGUUUCUGUUUCUGUUUAUAUUAGUAUGAUUUUCAAAUUGCUAAAUGAUAAAGUCUGCGCAAAAUUCUCUAUAGAAAUUAUUUUACAAUAUUCUAUUUUUUAAGUUUGUAAUAAUUAAAGUUCAAUUAAUUAUGUGUUAAUGGUUUUGUUGUUUUUUUUGGCUAAUUUCAUCUUCAUUUUCGAUGCAUAGACAGUUGCUUUCAAUCCAAUUCCAGUAGUCCAUUCUUGUGGAAAUACAUCACUGAAUUUGUCCACGGUCCACAUUUUUGGUUUCUGGUUAUUUCUGCCGCAUUGCCAGUUUGUUAUGGAGUUGCUACUUGCUAGUCUUCUGCAGAGACCAUGGACCAGCUUGAUUGAUUAACCAGCGAUUGCGAGGUAAUUUACUACCAUGCUGAAUCGCUGGACAUACGAAAAAAAAUCAAGGGCUACAAUUAUCUGAACAUGCAAAGGGAAAUUCAAUGAGUCAGCUCUAUUUUUUUUUUUUGAAGGAAGAUGAGUCAGCUCUAUAGGAAAGCAAAGCAAUGGCUUUCAGGGUUGUUGUCUGAUAGUGGGAUAACUACUGGAGCUUAUCCUGUUGAUGCUUAUUGACCAGCGCACCAAGGUUGACCAAUUGUGCUGCAACUUGCUGAUGGGCAAAGCAGCAGCGGCGCGAGAUAACUGAACAUUUCGGCAUUUUUGUUGCUGUUAAAUGUCGAGAGCAUUAUUUGUCCAUUGUACGUGUUGGUGUAGGCGAGAAGGCCCCCAUUCUUAUGUAAAAAGGAAACCAUUAUUUUUCAAGUGAUCUGUCUCAAAAUAAUUUGAUUCUCAAUUCAUCUUAGAGAGAAUGAACUAAGUAUAGAGAACAUAUUUUCCUUUGGAGCGCACGAUUAUCAAAAUACAGGCAUAGGAAAAAUGCAUGAGUAAAAUGUCAUCGCACUUUAAAUCCUAAAUCCUAAGUAAAUAAAACACAGAAAACCAUUUGGAUGGAGCACACGAAAAAUACACGAUUUUGACAAAGAGAAAAAUUCCAAGAACUUGGAGCUCAUAUUAGGAAUCCUUCAAAAUUCCAAUAAAACAUUUCAUUCCAAAGGAAUUUUUUUUUAAAAAAAACUAGCAUACUGCCCGUGUAUUUGCAACGUGAUUUUAGUUAAAGAAAAUUAUUAUUAACAUAUUGUCACUAUCCCUUAAUUGUUAUACAUAUUUGUUACUAACAUAUUAUUGAUCAUUUGACCCCCCCCCCACUAUAUCUUUUUGAGGCAAUUGCUUAUUUUAACCCUGUUACGAAGUCUAACUACUAAUUCGACCUUAUUUUUUUAGGUUUGCUUAUUUGACCUCGUUUUUCAAAAUUGAAGAUGAAGACUGACCCUAUUUUGUGUAGGCAAGAUAACGGUGUUAACUGAGUGAUGAUUUGUCCUUUUAACCCUGGCUCAUUUGACUCUAUUAUAUGAAAGCAUCUUGUGUUUGGACAUUCUUAACAUAUUUAUAACGAAUUUGAUAUAGCCUUGAUAGAUUUGUGACAAUUUUGACAGAUUUGGUCUCAAUUUAUUAAAUUUAGUUUCAGUUUGACAAUUUUGACUUUAAUUUUUUUUUAAAAAAUGACAAAACGGUUGAUAUACAAAAUUAUUUCUCCUAUUUUGUCCAUCCCAAAUUAGAUACAAUAAUAAAGCAAAAGCUCAGCAGCAGUCAAAGAGAUUGAACUCGAUCACAGCUAGGGUCAACGUUUCGAGAUUGAACUCAAGAAUGUGAUGCCCAGACACAGAUAGCAACCAGUAGAGGGCGUUGGCAACAAGUAUGGCAGGUGAACCAAAAUGGUAGAUGGUGGAUACAGGCCCUGUGAAGAUGGCAUCGCCCCAUUCGCCGGUCGCCGAUGAGUAAACGGAUACCAAGAUGAGGUGGGGAUUGGGAUGGGAUAGGGUUGAUUAGUAUUGAGGGUAUUUUGGUCACUUCAGGGUUGUAAAUUUAUUAUUUUCUUUUUUCUAAAUGAAGUACUAACAGUGGAUUGAAAACAGGGUCAAACGGAAACUUUCAUUUUGAAAAACAAGGUUAAAUAAACAAACCUAAAAAAAAGGUCAAAUUGGUAUUUAGGCUUUAAAACAGGGUCAAAUAAGCAAUUAUCUCUACACAUAAACUAUCUUAAAACUUAUUUCCAAAUCUGUCUCGAGCUUCUCGCCAAAGGUUGGCGCGGCCGCAAAGAUGACAGUGGCGGGGCUUCUCGCCAACCGGCUCGAGCAGCCAGGGGAGUCACCCUGGGUGGUGGUGGCAGCAACCACCAGAUCCAUACCGCCUCGGCCGGAUCUGGCGGGGUGGCGGCCGGCAGCGAGGAAGGCAUCGUCAACAGCGGUGGGGAUGGCGACGACGACGGCAAUGUCUCGGCGGCAAGAGGCGGCGGGGAUGGCGACAGCGAUGGGGAUGGUGGCAGUGGCGGAGACCGUAGAUCCGGCGGCAGGGCGCUUGGAUUUGGCACCCCCACGCCGGAUCCGACCGGUGGCGGCACGAGCGUGCCGGCGCAACCUGGCAAGAGGAUGGCGCAGCCGUGGGUGACGGUGGCGACGGGCCGGCGCGACGCGGCAACGCGGCCAGGGAGACUCGUGGCGAUGGCCGCGACAGUCGGCAGCCGACGGGAGGAGCGGCGCGGCCCGGCUGGCCGGCCGGCGCCGGCGGAGGCAGUGCGCACACGGAGGCGGCGGCGCGGCCCGAGAGACUCGCGGUGACAGUGGGCAGCCAGCGGAAGGAGGAGCGGCAGAUGGCUGGCCUACUGGUGGCGGUAGAGGUAGCACGCGUGGAGGUAGCGCGCGUGGUGGCGCAGCUGGCGACGGCGGAGGUCGGUGAGGUGCGGCCAGUGGUGGCCGCGGUGCGUGGAGGUGAGGCCGAGGUGCUGGUGCAGCACAACGAGGCUUGUUGGUGUGGAGACGGUGGUCGGCGCAACGAGUGGAGGCCAGCUCGGUGAGACGUGACCAGUGGCAGCGCGUGGAGACUGGCUGGCGGGGGGCACUGGUGCAGUGGUGCCCACGCGCCGGCGGAGGUUCAGAUGGCGGUGGAGCAAUGGUGCAUCAGUGGUAGAUCGGCAGGCGGUGGACGUCGGGUGAAAACCCAGGGCGACGAUGAUGUUCGAGCGUCAUUCCCAUCUUGAGGGCGUUGUCGUGUUGUUCCACCCCUCAAGUGUGGUUGCCGAGCGAAAGCGUAGUCUCGGUUCUCUUUGAGACCUUGAUGGACGGCAGCGGCGGCGGUGUUUUCGUCGCUUCUUUCCUUGGAGAUGUCGUCUAGGCACCCUCUUGCCGAAACCCCCAAAGCAAUUGGUGCAAGCCUGGUCUAGAUUCAUAUCCUCUUGUGUCGGCGUCCUAGCUUCUGCAAGUUGGCCACGUUGGAGGUCCUAGGGGAGAGAGGUGUUCCAUUCUUCUCUCUGACCCUCUCCCUAAAUCCCAACGACUUGGAUAGAGUGGGGUUUUGCACUGGUUGUAAGGGUCGGGUUUUGGGCGAUCUCAACUGUGUUCCAUUGUUGGCCUAGCGGUGGUCGGUCACGCUAAGCGGCGGCCAGUCGGAUGCUAGCCUUCUCCUAGGUCUGUGAUUGGCGCUGUCGGUGUGCGGAUGGUGGUAUACUUUUUUCGUUUUCCUUAUUACAACCUUACAGAGUUGUAAUCUUAUAUUUUUUUCUGCUUUAUCAAUAGAACUUCACGCUGUCUAUCGUUAAACUUUUUUUCCAAAUCUGCCUGCAGCUAUUGGUGCGACAGUGUUGUUUCAGCCUGCGAGACUGGGUGACGUGUCACGUGUCCAAAAGAUUCAAAUUUAGAAAUGACUUUUGGAUUUAUUUUUAAAAUUUAAAGUUUGUAAAUUCGCUGGUGGUGUUCAAAAGCAGGGACGAUAUGCAUAAUGCAUGAUGUGUGUUGGGGGUGGGGGAGGGGGUGAUCUCCCUCUUCUUUGUCGGAGAAAGCUUACCCGAGAAAGAGGAGGGCUCAUCGGAGAGACAGGAGAGAGCUCGCAAGAAAGCCAUCGUCGCUUGCGGUGAAGAAGACGAAGAGAGGUGGAGAGAGAGCGCCGCUAGUCUAGACCUGUGGGAGCAGCUGGGAACGCUACUCCAAGGGACAAAUUGUUUUUAUUUAUUUUUGAACAUUUUAUUUUUUAAAACUUUUAACAACAUUUAUUUUCAAAUCUACACUUUUUUUUUGUCACAUUAGACAUGAUAAAACAAGACUAUUACAUCACUCUGACUGAUAUGAUAACGUUAUUUUGCUACGCCACUCUAGAUGACGUAACAGUGCUGUUUUACUAAAAUAAGAUAAAAUAUCACGUCAACUAUUGGUGACGUGACAAUAUUAUUUCGUCAUAUCAGAUGGGAUGGCGUAGUAAAAAAAAGAUUCAAAUUCACAAAUAAGUAUUGAGAUAAUCUAUUAUUAAAAUCCAAAAAUUAAAAAGUUAAAAAAGUAAUAAAAAUUCCCGGUAGACCCCCCUUGCUUCCCACCGUUUCUGCUCUUCAGGCAGCUAGCUAAGUUCGUCCCAGUUUUGUUCCUACUGAAUUUUGGAGUAGAACAAAUCUGCACGAAUUUUUUUUUACACUCGUCAGUCGUCACACAAUAGAAUGGAACUUAAUUAUCCGAUCUUAAACUGAUCGAUACUACUUUUUUUUCCCUCUGAAAGUGACCAAUGCAAUAAUUAAUUACCAAAAGGUGAUUAGCACAUAAUAUAGACGAUCGAUGGACGCCUGAUCUUCAAUCGUUAUCGUGCGGGCUACCUGCAUAAAAUACCUUACACAUUGGCUGUUUAUCUGAUCAAAUAUUCAACCACACUAGAGACCUUAUCUGUGAGCAAUUCGAGGGCCUGAUAAUUGUCAAAGCUUUACAGAGUCAAAAAGUUCAGGCGCCAAUUUUCCUCGUGGCGCGUAGUGCCUAGCAACAACCAGGCUAGCAUGCGUUCCUCCAUGUCAGCCAAAUUAUCAGAGCAAAUUUGAUAGGAUUACUAUUAGCUUCAAAUCAUAUAUUCAUAUAUAGCUAAUCUAAUAGCUAAUUGAUACAAUAGUUAACUAUAAAUAUAUAUUACACCAUUAAUACAUGAUUCUACCUCUUAUACACAUAAUAUAUAUUACACAUCGUUUUCCUUCUCUCUCCUCUCUUACCUCCUUUACACGUGUUCAUAGCUGGCUUAUAGCCUGUUAUUAUAUUUCGGCAACUUUGCAAACCAUUGACCGCUAGUCUCAACAGAAUCUGCAGGAACAAAUCGACAAUCUCUUCGUCAGGUUGCAGCUGAAAAUGUUUGACGACGAUGCAGUACAAGCCAAGGAUCACAAUUCGCAAGGCAGAGAGAGUCUCAAAGCCACUACGUUUGCCACUACGAGUCUCGGCGAGCUGACCAGUGAGUGAGCGCCACAGCGCGCGCGCGUGCGCGGGCGCGGCAAUGGCCGCACUGCUCGAGUGCUUCUUGCUCGCCGUCGCCGUCGUCCUCGUCGCUCAUGCGGCGGCGCCGGCGCCGGCGGCGUCGUCUCGGCUGCCUCUGCCUCCUCCUCCUGCUGCUGCUGCUGGUGAUGUCUCCGGCUCCGACUCCGACCGCCGCGCGCUCAUGGCGUUCAAGAAGCUCGUGAGCGGCGACCCGUCGCAAGCCCUGGAGUCAUGGGGCGACGGAUCGACACCACUGUGCCGGUGGCGCGGCGUGUCGUGCGGCGUCGCGGCGGGGCGCCGCCGCGGCCGCGUCGUGGCGCUGGACCUCGCCGGGGCCGGCAUCGCCGGCGAGGUGAGCCCGGCGCUCGGCAACCUCACCCACCUGAGGCGGCUCCACCUCCCGGAGAACCGCCUCCACGGCGCGCUGCCGUGGCAGCUCGGCCGCCUCGGCGAGCUCCGGCAUCUCAACCUCAGCCACAACUCCAUCGCCGGCCGCAUCCCGCCGCCGCUGAUCUCCGGCUGCCGGCGCCUCAAGAACGUCCUCCUCCACGGCAACAGGCUGCACGGCGAGCUCCCCGGCGAGCUCCUCUCCUCGCUGCGCCGCCUCGAGGUACUCGAUCUUGGCAAGAACACACUGACAGGAAGCAUCCCUCCCGACAUUGGCAACCUUGUAAGUCUCAAACAGCUCGUCCUAGAAUUCAACAACCUGACAGGACAGAUCCCAUCACAGAUAGGCAAACUUGGCAACCUCACCAUGCUAAGCCUCAGCUCAAAUCAGCUGUCAGGCUCCAUCCCUGAAUCGAUCGGAAACCUCUCGGCAUUGACCGCCAUUGCCGCCUUUUCGAACAACUUGACAGGGAGAAUUCCGCCAUUGGAGAGGUUGUCAUCUCUUAGUUACCUUGGUUUGGCAAGCAACAACCUUGGAGGCACCAUUCCUUCUUGGUUAGGGAACCUCUCGUCACUGACAGCUCUGGAUCUUCAGAGCAAUGGCUUUGUUGGAUGCAUCCCUGAAUCUUUAGGUGACCUUCAGUUUCUUGAGGCAAUUUCACUGGCAGAUAAUAAGCUUCGGUGUCGGAUUCCUGAUUCCUUUGGAAACCUCCAUGAACUCGUUGAACUCUAUCUUGAUAAUAAUGAGUUGGAAGGAUCUUUGCCAAUUUCCUUGUUUAAUCUCUCCUCCCUUGAGAUGCUAAACAUACAGGAUAACAACCUCACUGGUGUUUUUCCACCUGACAUGGGUUACAAGCUUCCAAACCUGCAGCAAUUUCUUGUAUCUAGAAACCAAUUCCAUGGUCUAAUCCCUCCAUCAUUGUGCAAUCUCUCUAUGAUACAGGUGAUUCAGACAGUAGAUAACUUCUUGUCGGGAACGAUUCCGCAAUGCUUGGGAAGAAACCAGAACAUGCUGUCAGUAGUGAACUUCGAUGGAAAUCAGCUUGAAGCAACCAAUGAUGCUGAUUGGGGCUUCAUGACUAGUCUAACCAAUUGCAGCAAUAUGAUACUGAUAGAUGUUAGUAUCAACAAACUCCAAGGUGUGCUACCAAAAGCAAUUGGUAAUAUGUCAACACAAUUGGAGUAUUUCGGCAUAACAAACAACAAUAUAACAGGAACAAUACCUGAAUCAAUAGGGAACCUCGUCAACUUGGAUGAACUUGACAUGGAAAACAAUCUUCUCAUGGGGAGCCUUCCCGCAUCUCUCGGCAAUCUCAAGAAGUUGAAUAGAUUGUCUUUGUCAAAUAACAAUUUUUCAGGAUCCAUCCCAGUAACUCUUGGCAAUCUUACAAAACUUACAAUCCUUUUGCUUAGUACCAAUGCACUGAGUGGAGCUAUACCUUCUACUCUCAGCAAUUGUCCUUUAGAAAUGGUGGACCUUUCUUACAACAACCUUUCCGGCCCGAUACCGAAGGAACUUUUUCUUAUCUCCACAAUAUCAAGUUUCCUGUAUCUUGCGCACAAUAAAUUAACUGGGAAUUUGCCUUCAGAAGUGGGAAAUCUCAAGAAUCUUGAUGAACUCGACCUCUCUGAUAAUACGAUUUCAGGAAAGAUCCCUACCACCAUUGGAGAAUGCCAGAGCUUACAGUAUCUCAAUUUAUCUAGGAACUUCAUCGAGGACACAAUUCCUCCGUCACUGGAACAAUUAAGGGGGCUCCUAGUACUUGAUCUUUCUCAAAAUAAUUUGUCUGGAACAAUCCCUAGAUUCCUAGGUAGCAUGACAGGUCUUUCUACUCUGAAUCUUUCAAGCAAUGAUUUCGAAGGUGAAGUUCCAAAAUAUGGAAUAUUUCUUAAUGCAACUGCAACCUCUGUCAUGGGAAACAAUGACUUGUGUGGUGGGGCGCCUCAACUGAAGUUGCCAAAAUGCUCAAAUCAAACUAAACAUGGGCUGUCUUCAAAGAUCAUCAUAAUUAUCAUUGCAGGAAGCACAAUUUUGUUUCUCAUUCUAUUCACAUGCUUUGCGCUACGUCUAAGGACUAAGCUUAGAAGAGCAAACCCAAAGAUACCGCUCUCCGAUAAGCAACAUAUGAGAGUUUCUUAUGCUCAGUUGUCCAAAGCAACAAAUAGUUUUGCAUCUGAGAACCUCAUUGGAGUGGGCAGCUUUGGUGCAGUGUACCAAGGAAGAAUUGGGAUCUCUGACCAACAAUUGGUGGUUGCAGUGAAGGUGCUCAACUUGCAACAAGCUGGUGCGUAUCGAAGUUUUGAUGCAGAAUGUGAGGCUUUGAGAUGUAUUCGCCAUCGGAAUCUUGUAAAGAUUCUUACAGUUUGCUCAGGUAUUGAUUUCCAAGGUAGUGACUUCAAGGCGCUUGUAUUUGAGUUCCUGCCAAAUGGAAAUUUAGACCAGUGGCUACACAAGCAUCUUGAGGAAGAAGGUGAACCUAAGGUGCUAAAUCUCGUUGAAAGACUCCAAAUUGCGAUAGAUGUGGCUUCUGCACUUGAAUACUUACAUCAGCACAAGCCAUGUCCAAUUGUUCACUGUGAUCUGAAGCCAAGCAAUAUUCUUCUUGACAAUGACAUGGUUGCUCAUGUUGGUGAUUUUGGGCUUGCAAGGUUCCUUCAUCAAGAACACAGCAAUAGUUCAGAUAAAUCAACUGGUUGGAAUGCAAUAAGAGGAACAAUUGGCUAUGUUGCCCCAGGUGUGCACAAUUCUAUCAUCAUCUUGUUGCAUUUGUUUCUUUACUUCAUUCCACCUAAAUAAGCUUACUAAGUUCUUUAUGUUUGUUUAUUCCAGAGUAUGGAUUGGGCAAUGAAGUCUCAAUCCAUGGAGACGUCUACAGCUAUGGCAUACUUUUGCUGGAGAUGUUCACUGGAAAAAGGCCAACAAACAGUGAAUUCGGCGAUGUUCUUACUCUUCAUGAGUAUGUAGAAACAGCGCUGCCAGACCAAACAACUAGUGUCAUUGACCAAAGCCUACUAGAUGCGACAUGGAAUAGCGAAGGAACAGCUCAAAAGUACCACGACAUCGAAGAGAUAAGAACUGAGUGCAUUGUUUCAAUUCUGAAGGUCGGAAUAUUGUGCUCAAAAGAGAUACCAACUGAUCGGAUGCAAAUUGGGGAUGCAUUGAGAGAGUUGCAGGCAAUUAGAGAUAGGUUUGAUACACAUCAGCUAUAGUAGCCUAUAUCUUGAUGAAGUGGUGCAGCAUAUCAAAGUCAUGCUUGUGCAUGAAAUAUUCUACUUCGUACUAUUUAUCUGUUGAGGGUCAUGCACUUAUCAGUCAAGUAAGUCUGCAAGAAGACACUGGAGGCUGAACAUGCUCUACUGAAGAUUUUAGGAGUUGGAAGCUAAAAACGGAUAUCGAGUAUCAUGGAAGAAGCAAAACAUCUUCAGCUAAGGAAAAGGAGGAAGUUAAUUGAAAUAAACUAGGGCAAAAUGCUGUACUACAUUAUCAAGCAAAAAUAUUGUACUCGAGCAGCUACAGUCAGCUUAUGGCCACACCUACACAACACUCUGUAAUGGCUGAGAGGUAUACUAAAUAAGAGCCUAUAGCAAUUCGUAUUGCAGGGCAUCCAAUUAGCUACUCAUUUUCGCUCUUCGCACAUAUAAUUCUUGACUGAGCAAUUCAUAAACAUGUCAACAUGGCAGUGCCUGACUUGGCUAAUACUGUUGACAACUGUUGCAAUAAGCAGCACAAGAUAGCGACGUAAGAACCUCCAUCUGUCAUAGAAGUAGACAUGAGAAUUGUUAACACAACUUUUGUUCUGAAUAUUGGAAUUUCUUGUUCAAAUUCAACGAAUCUCCCACAAAGUAAGAGAUGCAACCAAUAAGAAAAAGGUUUAACAGGGAUUUGCUCCGAGAAUGGAGCAUCAACCCAUGAAGCAGUACAAGGUAUUUCCAGUGCAGGUCAUCUUGAAACUAUUGCACAACUCAAAAAAGGUCAAUCUUGAUCCAGGGGCUCUUGGCUAAGGCCCUGGAUGUGGUCUAUUCUACUGUAGACUGGCCCUCCCCUUAAGAGUUAGGUUUAGAAUUUUGGAUCGAUUGAUCACAGCCGAAUUUGGAAUGCAGGAAUCUUGUCUUGUCCAUGCAAAAGAUUUGAGCAUUUAUAUGCACUUUUAAGAAAAAUCAUCUGAAAUUCCUGUGUUCCUAAGGAGCCAAAGUGACAGAGUUAGUCUGUGUCAUUACUCAUACCUGCGAGCAGCAUAUGCAGUCCAAAUUAGUUGAUAUGUGCAGUCCAAAUGAGAAUGCUUCCCCUCCGAUGGCUAUAUUCCUUAUUGUAUAAGUACACUAUAGUAGCAUAGCACCAUAUUGCCAAUUUGCCAUCAACGUCAAAUAAUUGACACGCACAGCUCAGCUCUUCUACACCAGAUAUAUGGGAACAAACGGAAGACCUUUAAUAUUGUUCCGUAAAUUAUGCGUAGAAAUGUUUCAUAAAGGACAAAUCAAGGCCGGCCAGCCAGCCAGCCGGCCUAAUUCAUCCUUCUGUCCUGCAUGAAGCCACAUGAGAAUGCUGUUGGCAGAAGAUUCAGAGUAUCUUGCUACAUGAGUAGAUUUAGAUAACACACUUACUUUAACCCAAACAAGCUGGCAGCAAAGUUUGACCAGGGAACCUGUAAACUUCUGGUAGGAGGCCGGCUAUCUGAUGAUUGACUAAAGUUGCAACAGAACAGAAUGUUGGUAAUCAAUUUACUACAACUGAAGGGUGUUGACCAAAGUGCAGGUACUACCUGAGAAAGUGACAACUUGAUUGGGAUCCAAGCUAUUGAUUUAUCUUGACGACCAACACACCAUGCUUAUAUUCAGGCAGGAGAAUAUGUGUUGUCUCUAUAGAGCAGAAGCAACCAUUCCUCCCAUGAACUGGUAAAGCUGGACUGAGUAGCCUCUGCAAUCACCACCUAAGCUUCUGUUUUUGAAAAUACACACCUCGCUUCCUUCUUUCUAGCAAUGGUGGCGACCGGGUUCUCUUUCUUGCUCACGCUGCUGCUCCUUGCAACUGCUGUUCCACCAGCUCCCACGACCAGAGCUCAGCCUGCCACCGACCACCUUGCACUGAUGGCCUUCAAGUCGCAAAUAACCCGUGAUCCGUCGUCAGCAAUGGCCUCGUGGGGUGGCAACCAAUCGCUCCAUGUCUGCCAAUGGCGAGGUGUGACGUGCGGCAUCCAGGGACGCUGCCGUGGCCGUGUGGUGGCGCUGGACCUCAGCAACCUUGAUCUUUCUGGCACCAUUGAUCCUUCCAUAGGCAACCUCACCUACCUGAGAAAGCUUGAUCUCCCUGUGAAUCAUCUAACUGGUACCAUCCCUUCAGAGCUUGGUCGUCUUCUCGACCUCCAGCAUGUCAACCUGAGCUAUAAUUCUCUGCAAGGUGGCAUUCCGGCAUCACUGUCACUAUGCCAACAGCUUGAGAACAUCAGUCUGGCAUUCAACCACCUAUCAGGAGGGAUACCUCCAGCCAUGGGUGAUUUGUCCAUGCUGCGCACAGUCCAGUUGCAGUACAACAUGCUUGAUGGAGCGAUGCCUCGCAUGAUAGGUAAGCUGGGCAGCUUAGAGGUCCUUAACCUCUACAACAACAGCCUUGCAGGAAGCAUUCCGUCAGAGAUUGGAAACCUCACCAGUCUAGUAAGUCUUAUCCUGAGCUACAAUCACUUGACAGGUUCAGUUCCAUCUUCUCUUGGUAACCUUCAGAGGAUCAAGAAUUUGCAACUGAGGGGGAACCAACUUUCAGGGCCAGUUCCAACGUUCUUGGGGAACCUAUCUUCACUAACCAUUCUUAAUCUUGGCACUAACAGAUUUCAGGGGGAGAUUGUGUCAUUGCAAGGACUGUCAUCUCUGACUGCCCUAAUUUUGCAAGAAAACAACCUUCAUGGUGGCAUCCCUUCUUGGCUAGGAAACCUCUCUUCACUAGUUUACCUAAGCUUGGGAGGGAACAGAUUAACUGGAGGAAUUCCUGAAUCAUUAGCAAAACUUGAGAAGCUAUCUGGACUUGUUCUUGCUGAAAACAAUCUUACAGGUAGCAUUCCUCCCUCCCUAGGAAAUCUUCAUUCUCUAACAGAUUUGUACCUAGAUAGGAAUCAGCUCACUGGGUACAUUCCUUCUUCCAUUUCCAAUCUCUCCUCUCUUAGAAUAUUCAAUGUACGGGAUAACCAGUUAACAGGAUCAUUACCAACUGGCAACAGAGUCAACUUCCCAUUGCUUCAAAUAUUUAAUGCAGGGUACAAUCAGUUCGAGGGUGCCAUUCCAACUUGGAUGUGCAACUCUUCUAUGCUUAGCUCAUUUUCAAUAGAAAUGAAUAUGAUUUCAGGAGUAGUUCCUCCUUGCGUUGAUGGCCUAAAUAGUUUGUCAGUCCUGACAAUUCAAAACAAUCAACUCCAGGCAAAUGACAGUUAUGGUUGGGGAUUCCUUUCUAGUUUAACUAAUAGUAGUCAGUUGGAGUUUCUAGAUUUCAGCAGCAACAAAUUUCGAGGGACUCUACCAAAUGCAGUAGCAAAUCUUUCUACAAAUUUGAAAGCUUUCGCCCUAAGCGAAAACAUGAUAAGUGGCAAGAUCCCUGAAGGAAUUGGAAACCUUGUUAAUUUAUUGUACCUUUUCAUGAGCAACAAUUCUUUUGAGGGUAAUAUUCCUAGCUCACUUGGUACACUCUGGAAGCUGAGUCAUUUAGACCUUGGAUUCAAUAAUCUAUUGGGCCAAAUUCCACCUGCCCUUGGUAAUCUCACAUCGUUGAAUAAACUCUAUCUUGGACAAAAUUCACUUAGUGGGCCUCUGCCAUCCGAUCUUAAAAAUUGUACUUUAGAAAAAAUUGAUAUUCAGCACAAUAUGCUCAGCGGUCCAAUUCCAAGGGAGGUUUUUCUCAUAUCUACCCUGUCUGAUUUCAUGUACUUCCAAAGCAACAUGUUCAGUGGGUCACUACCAUUGGAAAUCAGUAACUUGAAAAAUAUUGCAGACAUCGAUUUCUCUAAUAACCAAAUUUCUGGUGAAAUUCCUCCAUCUAUUGGUGAUUGUCAAAGCCUGCAAUAUUUUAAGAUACAGGGGAACUUCCUUCAAGGGCCAAUCCCAGCAUCAGUGAGUCGGCUGAAAGGUCUUCAAGUACUUGAUCUUUCACACAACAACUUUUCUGGAGACAUUCCUCAAUUUCUAGCAAGCAUGAACGGCCUAGCUAGUUUGAACCUCUCAUUCAACCAUUUUGAAGGGCCAGUUCCUAAUGAUGGGAUAUUUCUCAAUAUAAAUGAAACUGCAAUUGAAGGGAAUGAAGGCUUGUGUGGGGGUAUACCUGAUUUGAAGCUGCCUCUUUGCUCCACUCACUCCACCAAAAAGCGGUCUUUGAAGCUUAUCGUAGCAAUUUCCAUAAGCAGUGGAAUCCUAUUGCUUAUCUUGCUUUUAGCUCUAUUUGCAUUCUGGCAAAGGAAUAAGACACAAGCAAAAUCGGACUUGGCACUUAUCAAUGAUUCGCAUCUAAGAGUAUCUUAUGUUGAAUUAGUCAAUGCAACAAAUGUUUUUGCUCCUGAUAACCUCAUUGGAGUAGGAAGCUUUGGAUCAGUGUACAAAGGACGAAUGACGAUCCAAGACCAAGAAGUAACUGUUGCAGUUAAAGUGCUGAAUCUCCAACAGCGUGGGGCUUCUCAAAGCUUCAUUGCAGAAUGUGAGGCUCUGAGAUGUGUUCGGCAUCGAAAUCUUGUGAAGAUCCUAACAGUCUGCUCAAGUAUUGAUAUUCAGGGCCAUGACUUCAAGGCUCUUGUAUAUGAGUUCAUGCCAAAUGGAAAUUUGGACCAAUGGCUACACCAGCAUCUUGAGGAAAAUGGGGAAGACAAGGUUUUAAAUAUCAUCAAAAGGCUCGACAUUGCCAUUGAUGUGGUUUCUGCACUUGAUUAUCUUCACCAACAUAGGCCAUUGCCAAUUAUUCACUGUGAUCUCAAGCCAAGCAAUAUUCUCCUAGAUAGUGAAAUGGUUGCUCACGUUGGUGAUUUUGGGCUUGCAAGAGUCCUGCAUCAAGACCAUAGUGACAUGUUAGAGAAAUCAAGUGGCUGGGCUACAAUGAGAGGAACAAUUGGAUAUGCUGCUCCAGGUAUGCUUCUAACAGCUACAAUCCACGGUUUUCUUUCUAAUUUAUUCACAAACCUUUCCAUUGAUCCAUACUUAAGUAGAUCGUUUUGCUAUUCAGAUGUGUGCAAUUUGUUAUGAAAAACUCAAAUUCUUGCAAAUGAUAAUUAUGCAGCAGUGUAAAUUAUAUAUUAUUAGACUGAAGCCCACAUAUAAAUUUAAAUAUAAAUGCUUAAACAUGCAACAACGUCCUUUAUGUAACAUUUUCUUAUGAUUACAGAGUACGGUUUGGGCAAUGAGGUUUCAAUUCUGGGUGAUGUCUACAGCUAUGGUAUACUGUUGCUGGAGAUGUUUACCGGAAAAAGACCAACUGGCACUGAAUUUAGAGAAGCUCUCAGCCUUCAUAAUUAUGUAAAGAUGGCACUUCCAGACAAUGUGAUCGAUAUUGCAGACCAACACUUACUAUCAGAGAACAAUGAUGGAGAAGAAAUAAACUCAGAUGGCAAAAGAACAAGAGACACGAGAAUAGCCUGCAUCACAUCAAUUCUGCAGAUUGGAGUUUCCUGCUCAAAGGAAUCUCCAGCAGAUCGCAUGCAUAUUGGAGAAGCUUUGAAAGAAUUGCAGAGAACAAAAGACAAGUUUAGCUUGUCCCUGCGUUGAAGCAUCAAAUCUCUGAAUAAUUUGGCAUAAUAAUCCCCAGGCUAUAAUAGAUAUUUACAGCCUAGCAACCGAAGCCUUAUCAGCAUAGGUUCAGGUUGUAUGAGUAGCUUCAUGAUGUUCACACAUGCAGGGUGCUGUUACUGAACAAAAUAUAAGAACCAUAAACCAUUUGGCAUUUGCAGGAAGAAUAUGUAAAUCGACUAACUGCACAUACAGUUUUAUGUUUUUUAUUUUAUUUUUUUGCUUGUAGCCUACAAAACUAUUUUGAUGGAAGCAUUCGAUAUGUUACAGCACGCGAGUUCACAGAAAUUACACUAGCGGUCCUUAAACUUGUAACGAAGUUUUACAUAGGUCCACGAACUUGCAAAACGUGUAUCGAGAUCCUUAAACUUAGUUUAAUGUAUCAUCCCAAUCCAAAGCCUGGUUUGACCGUGGUCUUGCCUAUGUGGCAUGCCACGUGGAUGAUGACAUGGCUAAAUUUUCUUUUUCCCUUUUUUUUCUCCCCAUCUUUUCUCUCCUUCCUCACCUAGCGUGGAGAAAACUGCGGCGGAAGGGAGAGGAAGGAGGCAAAAUGGAGAAAAAAAAAGAUAAGAAGGGAGAAAAAAAGGAAGAAGAGAGAAAAAAUAAAAAAGUCCAUGUCAUCGUCCACGUAGCAUGCCACGUAGACAAGACCACGGUCAAACGAGGCUUUGGACCAGAAUGGUACAUUAAACCAAGUUUAGGGAUCUCGAUGUACGUUUUGCAAGUUUGUGGAUCUAAGUGAAACUCCAUUACAAGUUAAGGCCGUGCUCCCUGAAAAAUCUCAAUUCCAAUUGUUCCGUACUGCAAUUGCACUAAACUAACCAAAAGGAAUGGCCAUUUACCAAGAUCCAUACCCCAUACCCAUAGUAUAAUGUUUCUGUUUCCCCAUUUGGUCGAGAAGUUGCAAACUCAGAUGCAUCAACAUCAUCCCAAGCAAACGAGAGAGUAUCAGUGUAUUCACAAAAGAAAAAAAAAACAGUUUCCGUGUUUACCCCUUCGAUGAAAGCGGGGGAGGAGAAAGCGGAGGCGGGGGUGGAGAGUCGCCACCGAGUCGACCAGUUGAGACGCUGGGUGGAGAAGGGGGCCUACGCAGGCGGCGGCCGCCGGACUCCGGCGAUCUCGGCGGCGUGAUUAGCCGACCGCCCUGCCUAGCUAGAACAAAAACCCAGAAGGGUAAAGGAAAAAUCGCAAUGCGCGCUCGAUAUAUACCUCGUGGUGGCGGAGCAUGAGGCGUGCGGGGGGCGGAGACGAUCGCGGAUGCCCCCACCAUCGCCGUCAGCCAGGGCGACUCGCCGCCGUACGCGCGCCGGAGAGGAGACGGCGGCGGAGUUUUCCCGGAGAAGACGCCGAGGCGGCCUGCAGAGCAGGCUCGUUGUAGCCCAGCCCACCUGUCAAAUCACCAGGGCCCAAUCCUGUACGGGCCUCAAGGAGGCAGCAAUAAUCCCGUCCCGGCCCAAAUGUAUGGGCCGCCCAGAAAAAUAAGUCUUUUUUACAUUCCUCAACUCUUAUCCACUAAUUAAAGGGAAAAGUACACGCAAGGUCCCUCAACUUGUCAGCGAGAUACAAAAUCGUCCCUGAACUGCAAAACCGGACAUCCGGCGUCCCCCAACUUACAAAACCGGUCACAAAAGGUCCCUCAGCGGUUUUGACCCCGGUUUUGUCCCACGUGGCGGCUGACUCAGCAUGGGACCCACGUGGGCCCCACAGGUCAUGGAGACCACGUCAGCACCCUCUCUCUUUUUCUCCUCUCUCUCUCUCCUGCCUUCCCCUCGCUCUCUGCUCUCGCACAGGCGGCUGCGCGCGCGGCCGGAGGGUGGUGCGGCCGGCGACGGCGGCUCCCUGGUGGCGGCGCGCGGGCUCAGGGCAGCGCGAGCUCGCCGGCCUCCUCGUCCCCCUCGUGCGGUCGGUGAUGGCGGACGAGCGACGAGAAGCAGGCGGUGCGACGCCCCCGCCGCGUACAGUGGCGCGGUGACCGUGGCCGCCAUCGCCUAUCAGAGGAGACCUCCGCCCGCGCUCGAAGCCGCCGACGACGAUGAGGCCGAGCGGCGCGGAGUCGUCGGCGCCGCCGCUCCCCAUCCGCAGCCGCACUCGCCUGCCGCCGCCGAGCUUGCUGCCCCGUGUCUCCGCCGCCGCGUCGCCGCCCAGCACGAACCUCACGCUCGCGCUCGCGCUCGCGUUCGCCGGGUGGGGAGCCGGCCGGUCAAUCUCCUCUCCGCCGCUCCUUCCCCGUCGGCCGCGCCGCCCGGAGAUCCUCAGCGUCGAGGCGGCCGCGGCGGAGACGGCCUCCCGCUCCCACUGCCGCUGCCGCCGCGGCUCCUUGCUGGUUGCAAGACGACGACGGAUGAUGCGACGGCGCGGCGCCGUCGAAUCCUCUGAGCAGCUUGUCGAUUCCUUCACGCACCGCAGCGUGGUGUGGAACGCGGCGGCGUCCGGGACAAGCCGCAGGAUCUCGUCGGCCACGCGGACGCCGUUGAGGCUGCGCACCGUGGCGAGGUCAAGGCCGCGCCCGUCGCCGCCGCCUUGCUCCCCUGCUCCCGCGUCGUCGCCGCCGCCACCUUGCUCCCCUGGUCGGACGGCCAUCGCGCCUACAACCUCCUGGACGACGGCCACGACACCGUCCAGGCCAACGUCGAGCUCGGCCUCGCUGUCGACUCCCGCGAGUACGGCAUCGGCGCCCCAGGUAGCAAAGUUCGUCGGGCUCAAGGGCUACGGGCUCGCCGUCGUCGGCAGGGUUCCGGCCUCCCCGCGCCUCCGCCGUGCUUCCCCACUAUGGCCGCCGCCGCCGCCGUCGCCGUCGUGGCGCCGCCCUCCUCCUCUCCUGCUCGCCCCGGCUAGCUUUGCAGAUAAGUGAGAGAGAGAGAUGACGAAGGGAGAGGAAGGGAAAGAGAAGAGAGAGAGGAGGCUGACGUGGUCUCCAUGACAUGUGGGGCCCACGUGGGUCCUACGCUGAGUCAGCCGCUACGUGGGACAAAACCGGGGUGAAAACCGCCGAGGGACCUUUUGUGACCGGUUUUGUAAGUUGGGGGACGCCGGAUGUCUGGUUUUACGGUUUAGGGACGAUUUUGUAUCUCGCUGACAAGUUGAGGGACCUUGCGUGUACUUUUCCCCUAAUUAAACAGGGGCAUGAAUUGAGGGAAUCUUAUAGACUUAUUCUAACCAUAAGCCCGUUCCGGCCCAAACCGCACGUACACCGCAAUCCUUUUUCGGCCCGCUUUAUCCAGUGGCCAUCACCGAGUGCAGCCGGACUGCCGGAGCCAGAGCAGCCGUCGCCGCCGCCGGCGAGGCGACGCAACGCGCAAACACGGUGGAGCUUCUCGACGUGGACAGGAUGGAAAUCAUGGCGUCGGGGCGGAGUGCACUCCUCGGCGGCAAGCCAGCGACCAUGGGUAACUCAGUGUAGACAAUUUUUGGAGCUACUGCCUCCAUUUUAUAAUGUAAGACUUUUUAGCAUUGUCCACAUUCAUAUAGAUUUUAAUAAAUCUAAAUAUAUAUGUGUUUAGAUUCAUUAACAUCUAUACAAAUAUGUGCAAUGCUAGAAAGUCUUACAUUAUGAAACGGUGGAAGUAAUUUGGUUUUCUGUUGGCGAAUUUCUAUCCAUUAUCUUAAAAAUAAAUUAAUUAUGAUGGUUUUUUUUAAAAAAAAUGUUUUCUGUUUGAAAGUCAUGCUAGUACAGUUAUAAUUGUUCGGUGUGAAUUGACUGAACAAACUCUGGCAGAGUCGUUAUAAUUGACGAAAACUUAAAAUUUAAAUUGUUACUACAUUCACUAUAACUUCGCUCCUCCUCUACUCCUUGGCACAAAUUCAACCAAUCAAAAUGAUUUGAAGAUUGGAAAACCCUUGUUUUUAUCUUCUAGUUUGAAGCUUCUAUCUUUGCCUUUUCAAUGGGCAUAGUCUCAAUCUUCGUCAUAGUUCUAACCAUCAUGUAUAUCAACAGAGAUCACUUUAUAACCACUUUUAAUUCUACCAAUUUUUGACAUAUUUUGUGUUACUAAAUUUUGAUAGUGUUGGAUAUGUUUGGUUUAAAGCCUUACCAAAUUUCAUCAGAAAUGUUAAGAGUAGAGACUUCUAGAACUACCAAAAUUUAGUAAGAUAGUACUGAUAAAAUAUGCUUGGUUUGUUGAGCUACCAAAAUUUGGUAGGUUUGAAAGUGGCAAAAAAGAAAAAAAAUAAACAAGCUCUAAAUAACCACCUUACAUGCUUAGAUUUUCAUGACCUAAGUACCUAACUUAUGUUAGUCAAUACAAGUUAAACACGCACAGUCGCACAACCGUCCGAAGGAUUCACACUUGACAAACUUCAAAUAAAACCAAAAUACAUGGACCCGACUGAUAUUAAUUUCCACAUGGUCUCGAUCAUAGCUAGGGGCAUCCAAUUCUGCGCUAAUCCUUUUCAUCCAACUAGGAAGGCAUUUUAUUUAUUGUUAUAUGAAAUAGUGCUAAAAGAAGUCAUAUCUCACCAUUUCUACAUCGUGAGAUAGAUCGUAGACUUCAAUAUACUUAAAUUAUAAGAAUGUCUCCCAGAAUUAAAAACACUUUGUCCCGAUUACAUAUAAAUUCUCCUAUUAUUGUAACAACUCAUUAUCACUAUUUUAAAAGCUCGCUAACUAUCAAUACAUGAAAUUGCGCAUAAUAAAAUAAGCCUAAUAUAUCAUUAAUACACUACUUAGCUAAGUGUUUAUGUCUCACUUAUUUCCAAAUCCACAUAUAAAUAUUCUAAAAAUAUCACUAACGGGUGAAGCCGAUCAUAGCCGUAGAGACUUUCUUUCUCUAUUACCUUGAAAGUUGGGUAGCCAUGUCCCCUCAAGAUUAGCCCGAAGCACAAUUUUAAUGUCUACUCCCUCCGUCCUAAAAAAGGCAAACCCUGGGUUUCCGUGUCCAACUUAAACUGUCCGUCUUAUAUGAAAUUUUUUUAUAAUUCGCAUUUUCAUUGUUGUUAGAUGAUAAAACAUGAUUAAUAUUUUAUGCGUGACUUGUCUUUUUAAUUUUUUUAUAAUUUUUUCAAAUAAGACGGACGGUCAAACGUUGGGCACGGAAACCAGGGUUUGUCUUUUAUUGGGACGGAGGGAGUAAUUUACUAUAACACUUUCAUAGAGUCCUAUAACACACUUGGGCCACUCAACUCGGCCAUUUGUAUGCCACGUUAGAGGGUAAAUAACGGGUCCACCAAUUUAAAUGAAAAUCGAUGGUGAGAUUAUACAGUACCAUGUGAUGGCUUAGGAGCAUUUGUAGCAGCGUCAUAUGGCGACUUAGGAGUAUUCGUAGAAAGUUUAUGAACGUUUAGUAUAUAAUAGUUUUUCUUGCUGCGAAUAGUAGUACCGAAGCUUUAUUUCUUUUUCAUUCUAACGUACGUUUGUAUAUGUACUUAUGUUUUUUUCACGGUAUAUACAUCUAAUCUAAUGGUCUAAAAUAACGGGUCCGCUAAUUUAAAUGAAAAUCGACAGUGAGAUUAUAUUACCACAUGGCGGUCUAGGAGUAUUUGUAGAAACGCCACAUGAAGACUUAGUACUGUUUUGUAGAUCACAAAUUGGAUAUAUAAUUUUAAAAUAAUUUGAAAAGAUGAACAUUUAAAGAUGGUUGAUUUUAUAUUUAUAUUAUAGAUCUAGUUUAACACUGCAUCUAUAUAUUUGUGAAUGUGAAGUAAUAUAUUUCAUCUUUAUAUCGUAGAUAGUUCUAUUUUAAAGACCGUCGAUUUUUUUAUGGUACUAAGUACUUAUAUUUUAUUUUGGCUUAUAGUAAGUACGUGCAUAUUUUUUUUUUCUUCCGGCAAACAUUAUGCACAUGAGAAAGGCAUGAGAAAGGUAUUACAUAUUUAAUAGUAAAAAAAACAGGUCCAAUAAUUUAUAAAUCGAUAACAUAUAUGGAUAAAAUAAUGGAUCGAAAAUCGUUCAAUUGCAUGUGUAUAUUUGUGGGCCAAUAUAUCUUUAUAUUGUAGAGCGAUAUUUGCUUUUUUGAUAGUACUAAGCAUGUAUGCUUUAUUUUGGUUGUCGUAUGUACAUACAUACGUUCUAUUCCUCUGGCAAACAGUACAGAGAAAGAUAUUAUAUAUACUAGUAAUCGUGCACGUGCAAGGCACGUUUUUUUUAACAUUUAUAAUAGGAGAGAAUAAACUAUAGAGUAAAUUUCACUUUCAAUCAUUUUUAUCACCAUUGUUUGCUUUGGACUGGGUAAUCUUGUAUUUGUUCCACUUUUGAUUACCGACUCUCUUUUAACGUAUAUGAAAGAUUUUGAGUACGUCGGCUCCUAUUUAUCAAUGAACUCCCACAGCAAUAUAUAGACCAAUUCUUUUGACAUAUGACAAGUUGGAUUAGGUGGUUGAAAAAGUUGAGGGUAGUCUAAAAUGCCACAAAGGUAAAAUUACCUGUCCGAAAGUGAAACAUUGAUUAAAGAGUGGUUCAAAGCGAAACAUCGAUAAUAAAAGGUUGUCGAAGGAGAAAUUUACUCGAUAGGAAUCAUGCAUACAGGGUCAUCGUCAGCACACUAUAUGUUUGCUCCAAGCCUCCAAAUCAUCAGCUCCGCCACCAGGCAUCUUGACCAAGCUCUAGCACCCCUGAUGUUACUUAGCAGCAACACCUGCAUUUCUGCUGGUAUAUGUGCCAAAGAAAUGACUUAUACCAUGACAUGACUAAUUAUCAAACACACAGUUAGCAAAAGCAUGUAGACCUGCACAAUUAUCUUGUCGGUUUUCUCUUCAGGGUUGAGCAACACAUAAUUGGACGUCAUCAUGAUGUAUAUAUGCAGCAAGGGGUCGAGUAUUCUCCAAGAAAGAAAAAAAAAACAAAAUAAUGUAUCUUAUCAUCUCUGACUACACAAAUGCUCACUAUGAAAUCUUAUGAGAAAGACCAAACAAUAACGGGUAACUAAGAAUGCUGUUAAUAAGCUUAAACAUGAAUUUUACCUCAAGGUUCCAAUAUAUACUGUAGUAAUAGCUCUUAAAAACAGUGUACCAAACAGUGAAAUGCCAUGGUAAACCAUGACAAGAUUUUAGCAAAAUAUUCAGUUGUUGUCUACAAUGUCAACCUGCAUUAUAAACAACAGAAGUAAGCCAGUAUAUUUAGAUGCCUAAUAGAAUUACACAAAUACUUUUUGAUAUCACGGUUUUUCUUAUUGUUAUAUACCAGAAACAGUUUACAAACCUAAUUUACAGUUUUAUUAUGUAAGGGAAGAAAAAGAGAUUUGAUACUUGCAUGCAUUACAUAAAAAUUUUGACCAUGUAUGCUAGCAUUUUACUAAGCAAAUCUGAACAUUAAUUGCCACAAUACAAAAAAAGCUAUGUAUAAUUUCUCAAUACUCGAACAAAAUCUGAAACACCAUGAUGUGAUCUUCAUUGGUUGAAGGAGUACAUAGUGAUACCCGAACUUCCUGACUGGCAUGUACAAUUUUGUUUUUCUAUAAAAAUAUAGUAUCGUGCAUAAUUCGACAAUGUAAUAUAUGUAUAUCCAUAUGCAAAAGAAAUUGCAUACCUGACAUAAUAGUAGGGAGAAGUGGAGGACUUCUCAGGCACAGAUCAUCACAAGGAAUGAAACAAACGAAGACUGCUAGUGGCAGAUAAAUCACUUCGCCCUGGAAACAACGCUGGAGGCCUGCUAGCGAGGUUAUCAGUAAAGAACAGUAUGCGGCAACAUAUUAGUCAGGACUUGACACAAUUAUUCGGAAACACACGCACGUAUGUUGAAAUAAAAAAAAAAUGGAGAGGCUGAUUUACAUAUUGAAAUUUAGGGCUUUGCAAACGUGAACGUGCCAACUACAGAAACAUGUCAUUACCUGUUCAAUCCGCUGGAUUUGGUGUGGAGCUUCCAGUGGCGCUAUCCAUUUUAGUAGACAGAGAAAGGUAGAAAUAAGUGACCACCUGCAUAUAUACAUGAGCACAGUUUGAAAUCAACAGUUGAUCGAUCAAUAUGAUUACUGAUUAUCUCGGGAUUGAUCAGGUGGUGAUAUUUUGCAUGCAUGCAAUGAGAAAUUAGCUGAUUACACAAGGUUAUAACUCUGUUCUUCUACAUUAUUAAAUUAUGUUGUGGGUGAUGAAAAUAAGUUUCACGUCUCCUAUAGACUAUAAUCAGAAUUUUUGUUUACCUGCAGAGAAAGAGUAUGAACUAUGUACAACAUUGAAGUGUUUAGUGUCAGCAAACUGGACUGCACCCUGAAUUCGUGAAGAAAGGAGAACACAAUGGAUCAAAUUGCUUGCAAUAGACAGUACCUAAGCAGGAUUUUGCUGAACACCUGCAACUCACGCAAAGGGAAUUAGCAUCAGCAAUUCUAUCAACAGUUUAAGAGAUUCCCAUGGAUUACAAUUCGCCACAUAAUUUGAAGAUAAAACACAAAUGCAUAUUGAAAAUCAACACACAAAAAAGCAAAAGGCCAAUAUUUGUUCAGAUAAAAAGUAUUGUAUCCACGAUUGACCCUGCAACGGAUGAUCGACGGGCAAAUCAAAGCCAGGCGGCCAAAUCAAGCGUCCUUCAUCUUCUUGGUGGAGAUGGAUGGCUUGUCGGUGGGCUGAGGAGUCUGAACCAUGGGUUAUGAACCGAGAGAUUGAAGGAAGAGCAGGCGCCACCGCGGCCGGCAGAGAAGCAACGACUGAGGACGCUGCCGCGAAGAUUGAGGAACAACACCAGGUAGGAGGGUAAGCAGAUCCUUUUCACAUCGGAGUAGGACGGCAGGAAGCGCGCUCUCACCUCGACGCUGGCGGGGGAGGCUGCGAUCUGCGGUGGGAUGACGUGAUUUGCGAUGAGAGAAGGCGCACGGCGGCAGCUAGCGCACGAUUUGCAGGUAGGUGGUGGGAGGCGUAGCGGCUUCCGUAGCAUGUGCUAUAGCGGCGACAGGAGCGUGCGAGGAGGCAUUGGCGCGGCAGCGGUGUCAUCGGGCUGUGUCUAGCGGCAGGGAUAGCGCUUAGAGGCGGUGUUUCUGCGCUAGAAUCGCGCGUCCGCUCGGUGGGGAUGGGGAAUCAGUGAUUUGGAUGGAGCAAAAUCGGAUUUGGAUUCCACUGUUGCAUUGCAUCGUAACACAGAGCAGCCCCACAGCCGUCUCGAGCGGUUAGAUGUACAGAUCGGACGGCUAAAUAAAGGAAUGGGAAGAUGUUGAUUUCACCCGUAGGAUUGCAAGGAGACAACUCCUCCUAUAUAUAUAUAUAUAUAUAUAUAUAUAUAUAUAUAUAUAUAGACACACGCGCGCGCGCGCACACACAUAUAAUAUAUUAACUGAAAAUCGAUGCAUGUAUAGAUCUAAUCUAACGGUAUAAAAUAAUGGGUCCACCAAUUUAAAUGAAAAUCGACGGUGAGAUUAGACUGUGCCAUGUGACGAUCUAAGAGUGUUUGUAGGAGUGCCACGUGGCAGCUUGAGAGCGUUUGUAGGAAGUUUAAUGAUUUUUAGUAUAUAACUAGGAUGAUAGCCCACGCGAAUGCGCGGGCAUACGUAUUAGUUUGUUCUGAAAAUAGUUCUAACAAAAUAAAGUGAAAUUAAGGUAAGGUGUUUUCUAUUUUUAACAGGGUGUUCAUUGUAUCUCUUUUUGAAGAAAUCUCGAUAAACUUUUGCUGGCAAUAAAUGUUUUUUACCACCUUGUCAAUCCUCUUUUUAAUUGAUUCAUAUAUAUGUGUAAUUCGUUAUGCAUGUGAAUCAAUAAUGAUAAGUUCUUUUAAAACUAUUAGUUAUAUUUUGAAUGUAGUGGUUGAGUGAUUAUAAUUUCGAAUUUGUUUUCAAAUCAAAUUAUUGUGUUAUUCUAAAUUUUCAUUUUAAGGAUUUUAAUUUGUACUUAAUCUCGUAUCGUGUUGUAUUUGGACUCAUCUUUUAAUAUUUAUUUUAUUAUUAUUCCAAAUUUUAGAUAUUUAUAACUUAUACUUUUAUAUGGACUGUUUUAUAUUAUACAUGGGAUCUUGUUAUACAUUUUUUAAUAGUUUUAAUGGUUUUUUUUAAAAAAAAAUUGAAUGUGUAUUUUAAUCAAAUUGAUUAUUUUUUCUGAAUUUAAUUCUGAACUCCUCGGCGAUAGAAACGUCUCUCUCUGGCCCUCCUCUCAGUCCUUUGUCCUUCACCUAAUCAUCUAGCAUGCUAUUAGGCUUAGAAGUCAUGGAAAGUCUAUGCUGGCGCUUCCGUCGGUGUCCACCUCGCUAAGGUUGUGUUCUUCCCCCCUCCUUUCCCAACUUAACUCUCUCGUUUUCGGUGCACAUGUUUUCCAAACUAAUAAAUGGUGUUUUUUCUAAAAGUUUUCUAUAGAAAAAUUGCUUUAGAAACAUAUUAAUCCAUUUUAUAAAAAAUUUAACUAAUACUUAAUUAAUAAUAAUCUAAUGUAAUGAGUCGCUUUGUUUUACGUGCGUGGGAGAGAUUAGCUCCAAAACCUAUCUAAUGAACACAACCUAAUAAUAUCUUGCAGCUCCGCCUCCGUUGAGUUCAGGCCCAGGGUAUCCACCAUGGUUCCAAGCUCUUUGAUGGUGGUUGAAUCUAGACUUUAGACUCACAUAUUUGAAUUCAUUUGUCUUUUCACAGUGCAAAUUUUGCUCAAAUAUUUGUAGUCAUAAUGGCUACAUUAUCUAAAUUUUAUAUAGUAAAUAUGGGUAAAUGGAUCUUGAAUUAUGUAUUUAAUUAUAAAUAACAUGACAAAAUGCAAAUAAAUUGAGAAAAGUGCAUGUAACUUGAGAGUCAUGAUCAUUUAACUAUCUGAUUAUUAUUAUUUAUAUAUUAUAUGUUAGCUAGAAAAUAGGAAAUGUUGGCUCGAAAAUAGGAGAGGAGACUGGGAUCCCGGAGGAGAGAGUUGGAGGGUUGAGAGACUACGUACGUACAUGUGUGCCCACACACGGCGGGGUUGGGGGUACCAUAUUUUCGUGUAUUGGGGGUACCAUAUUUUUUUUUGAGAGAUCUAACGGUUAAAAUUAGUGGGUCCGCCUAUUUAAAGAAAUAUCAAUGGUUAGUCUUUUUCUUUUUUAUCAAAACUUUUAGGAUUUUUUUUCUAAUUUAUUAGAUCGUCAAAAGGCAUCUUAAGAACAUUUGUAAAAUGCGACGUGACAGUUUGAGAGCAUUUGUAGGGAGUUCAAUGAACUUUUAACUUUUAGUAUAUAAUAGAUGUUUAAUGGAUUUUCAGUAUAUAAUAUAUAGAUAGAUGUGUAAAGAAUAUAAUGCAGUAAACUUUCUUCAAACAUUAUAUACGUUUAUGAUGAUGCAGUCUAGGUUUGCAAAGUUAUAAUUGUUUGUUUUUAAUAAUGAAUGUUAUUUCAAUUAUCCUUAGAAAUUAUAAAAGGAAAGGAGAGAAAUAUGGACGUGAUAAGGGUGAGCGGUUUCGCACGUGCGUACGUACUUACUUCAUAUGUACGGACUUAUGGGAGAGCUGGGGCCGUUGUACAUUAAUACAAGGGUUUAUAAUAUCGGACCCACUAAUUUAAGUGAAUAUUUUAAGGGUUAGAUAUUUUGCUUUUGUAGAAUUUCCAUUAUUUAUUUAUCAGAGCGCCACGUGGUAGCUUAGGAGUAUUUGUAGGGGUGGCAUGUAGCGACUUAGGACCGAUUUAAGUGAAUAUCGAUGGACAAAUAUUUUUGUUACAAAAUAAUCUAAAAUAAUGGGUACAUAAUAUAAUAUAAUGGUGUAAACUUUAUUUUCAAAUAUUGUAGAGCUAAUUUAUUUAUGUUCACUUGUAGAGAUUUGUAUGCUGGUAUAUUCUAUAUUUGUAAAGUGACUUUUAUUCAAAAUUUAUUAUCACUUAUUAUUAUUAUUAUUAGUAUUAUUAUUAUUAUUAGUACUACUACUAUUAUUAUUAUUAUCUCAAUUAUAUACCGGAAAAAAAGAGAAAGAAUAGUAACGUACCUUGGAAAAAAAAGGUUAUGUACGUGCAUGCACCCCCUUUAACAGAUCGCAUGCAAGCAGUAACGUACCUAUAUAUGGAAUGGAACUGAGGAGUUAUUUUGAGAUAAAUCUAAUCUAACGGUUUAUAAUAUUGGACCCACCGAUUUAAGUGAAAAUCGAGGGAUAGAUAUUUUUCUUUUUUCUCAGAUUUUCUAGAAUUUUCUCUAAUUUAUUAGAGCGCCACGUGGCGGUUUGAGAGCGUUUUGAGGAAGCUUCAUGGAAUUUUAGUAUAUAAUAGAUAGAUAGAUAGAUAGAUAGAUAGAUAGAAGAUAGAUAGAUAGAUAGAUAGAUAGAUAGAUAGAUAGAUAGAUAGAUAGUUCUCCGUUCAAUAAACAAUUGCAUCCUUUGUUCCUCGGCUCAGCUCUCAAAUUCCUACCAACAAGGAGGGUUGUGUAUCCCUCCCGGGCCGCCUGAAAACGUACGUAAAUCCAAAAUCAGAUUUAAUCAAAUCGUGCAAGCAAAAGAAAACUAUAGCUACUGAUAUGUAUUCUCCUCAGAGUUGCCUCUCUUUAGCUCUGGUAAUGACACUUGUAAUGCAAACAAUUGAUCAGCUAGCUACAAAUCAUAAUCCCACAUGCCAUCACCUGGGGGGACAGACACUAAUGCAUGAUCGCUCGGGCAUGCCCCCCCCCCCCCCCCUUUUGCCUGUCCGUACAUACUAAAUAUAUACACAAAGAUAUAGGUAUAAAGUUUGUAUAUGUACGUAUACAAAUUUUAAUUAAGGACAGUUAACAAAGAACAUGUUGUUCAUUAAAAUUGGUUUACUCCAGACAGCAUAGAUCAUGAGUCCUCUUGGCUCAUGAGAAAUGAAACCUCUGUAAGGGGGUUGGUCUCCAUGCGUAUAAAGUAUAUUUUGCAACCAUAUAUCAAUUUGGUCCUCAGUUAAACAUCGUGUACCGUAUAUGCAUAGUUUCAACCAUGUCAUCUAUGUACCAUGAUCUAAGGCAGCAUAAAGUAUAUUUGCAACCAUGAUUUAAUUUUUUUUAACCAUGGUAUUUACCAUCAAACCUUUAGCUGUAAACUAUACUGAUAUUUUCAUCCAUGUCAUCUGCACAUGAUGUUGCCUGUAACAGAUCAUACGGAAUGGGCAUUGACUAAUACAUAUAUACUUCAAUUUUUUCAGAUCAGACAAAGAAGUAACUCCAACAAGAAUUUACUGAGAAUGAGGAGAUGGAUGUCCAUGGAUAACUACUUUUGGAAGAUGUUGAAACUAUAUAUUGGAUUAUGUUAUUUUGCUAUGUGAUGGACUGCACAAACUACAUGUUGGAUGAUUUUAUUUUCCUAUGUUGAGACAAUUUGGACUGGUGAUGUAUUGUUAAGCCUAUUUGAAACCUUUGUAAUGGACUGUGAAACUAUUUGGACUAUUAAAGCUAUGUGAUGACUUGUAAUGGAUUUAUUGAUGUAUGCAGUUGUAAUGGACUGAUUGCUUGCAAGAUUACUUUUAUAUUUUGAAAAUCAUGAAUUAUCUUGCUGCAAAACUGGGCUCUGCGCGGCCCAAGUUUUUUGUCCCCCAAAUUUCGGAAUCUUCGGACGAAAUUUCAAAUUUGAAUUAAAAAUUUCGUACGAAAAAUCAUGAAAUUUCGGUGAUUUUGGUUAUUUCGACACCCCCCCCCCCCCCCCCACACACACACACAGAACAAAAAGCACCAUUUCAAAACUGCAAACCCCUGAUACAAGGAAAGCUCCGUUCUGGCGUGUCGUCGCCGGACCGCCGUCGCUGGGCCACGGAAUUCGACAGCUCCGACGACGGCGGCGACAUGGCGCAGGGCGGACGGCAUUGGGAGCGACUGGGUCGGUCGUCCCUCCGCUCGUAUGCGGCGCGGGCAACCACGGGUAACCCUUCUUUAGAGCUUAUAUUAUAUUAUUAUUCCUUUUCAGCGACUAAGUCAUGCAUCUAGAGUUGAUGUAAAUUUCAUUGGAUUGGUCGAACAAAUCCAGGAAAUGUCAUUGCUGACGAAAUCUUUAAAAAUCUUAAUUUUGUACAUUUGACUUGACUGCGUCCUGGUCUUCUCUAAGCCUGGAGCACAAAAAUUGUACCUACAAAAAACGACGGGGAGAUUGGAACCCUUGUUUUCGCCUUCAAGUUUUAACAUGUAAACAUCGACCUCUCUCAAGUCGUCGAGCACCUUGUCUCAAGCUCUUUGCACAUGGCCAGAGGAUUGUCUCAUUAGCUGACAUUGCAAUGCAACUAAUCUGGCCGCUUCCUUUGAUUCUUGCUAAAUUACUUCUUCUUUGUUCUUGUAAACGACGCUUCCCAAUUCUCGUAAUCUGUGUGCACAAGUUCAGCAAUGCCGCUGUGUCUUGCGUCUUCCUCUGUCUGUCUCACGUUGCUGCUCCAGAGGCGAAUGCAGGGUAGUGUGCAUCCCUACUUCAAUUCGAUGAAAGGCAGUAUUAGCAGUAUCCCGGGUGCACUCUGUCAACAAGUUCAGAGAAAGUGUCAACAUAAUCAGAAUGCCAUAAUACACUAAUACUUUCAUCUUUAAAAAGACAGAUUACAUAAUAUUCCGUCUAUGUUGAUUGUAGCAAUGAUUUAGUUAUUAUACCGUACAUUUAUCCAUCCAGGGUCCCGCCUCAUCUCAUAUAUUUUUUAUUUUUUCUUUUGGAAGAGAAAUCUCAUAUAAAAAUUUCAGGCCAUGCUAGCAUUUACCAAUUCUGAAAAUAGGCACACACUGUGACACAUGAGACUUUAUUUACAGGGACAUUUAACUCGCUGUCUAUGACAUGUGGGCCCUCAUGUGUCUAUGACAUAUGGGUCUAGUAGCAAAUAAUUUAGCACCACUCGUAAGAGUGGCAAAUAGUUAAUUAUUCCUUAUUUACACAAAGGGUGUGCACAAGGUACAUUGGCUAUUUGGCAAAUCUAUCUUGCUAGCAAUACUGUGGUACAAGCAAAUAUGUGUGUCCGGUGCUUAUUAGGGUUCAAGAAUGAAAAAAAAGAGGGGUACAGUGUCAUGCUUGCUCACUUUGUGCUGGGUGAACAGCACACAGUGACUAGACGCAGACAAGUAGAAAUGUAAACAGUGGAAGAAGAAAAAAAGGAAAAACUAAAAACAGGACACAGUACGGUAGCACAUGAUCUACACGACCUCAUUUUACAGGUACAUGCUGAUUGAUCAAAAUACAAUUAACCCAGAAAAAAUGAUACGCACACAAACUCAUAUUCUUUUUUUUUUGUUCUGUUUUUAUAAAGCACGAAUUGGGCUCGCCAUCGACAGCACUACUUAUAUAUGCUCGGCGAAAAUAUCGAUAGGACUCUGAUUUCUAUCUGUGAUAUAUAGGUAGCGAUCGAUCUCGUGAUCUCUUCUCACCGGAUAUAUUUAAUUUCGACCUCCAAUUUGAUCGAGAUGUUACCACACACAGGGCGUCUGACAAAUGCCAAACAGCCAGAAAGCCCUAUCAAGUAUUUUGCCUAUCCCUGCACAAUUGAACAACAAACCAGGGUUAAUUAGACUGCCACAGGAGAGAUGACCUAUAUAUCGACAAAACCGAGAACAAGGUAAUUUAAACUGCAAAUCAUCUAAAGAAGAAAUUAAGGUACAAAGGGAGGAGAUGGAAUGUGCAUUUGCUCAAGUCACUAGUAUGAUCCUAGCUGCUGUACCAGCAUGUUGAAUGGGGUGUUGUCACUUUCGUUUGAUUGGUUGAGCUCUGUUCCAGUUUUCUCAUUCGAGUAACUUUGUUUGGUACAAAUACUAGUUAUCGUCAAAUUUAUAUAUGUUUGAGUGGGUAGGGCUGUCAUUGUGCUCCCAAGUCCCAACAAACCGUGUUCGACUCUCGACACACUCUUUUUGCUUCUUAGGGCUGUUCGGCUGGACUAGCUCCAAGAUAGCAGGGGCUGUAGCAGCUGCAGCUGCAGUCCCAGCUUACCGAAUAUGCCCUUAAUAUAUCGAUAUUAUAUUAAAGGUUUUGUUUUAAUAUAAUGGCGCUGUUUUAUCAUCAAAAGGACUGCCCUUUUUAUUGAUGUGUGGCGGAUUUUAGUGCAGAAAAUUUGCAUAUUUAUUAAAAGAAUGUUUGCAUAUGGAGGCUCCAGGGCCAGUAGGAAACCAGAGAGAGAGAGAUUGAUGGCUCAAUUCUUCUUGAAACAUCUCCCACUCCAGCUCCAGUUUCUUAUUUUUCUUUUCAAUGGAAGAUUAUGGAGCCCAUUGUCUCUGUCUCUGUAAUGUGUUCUUUGGGCCAAGCCAGAUUGUAUCCCUUGUCUGAAAAAGGUCAUAAACUUGAGUACUUGACCCAUGCAAAGCUCUAGAUUUUGCAGUGCUUUGCUUCUAUUCGCAGUAAGGUUUUGCCACUGAAAAUUUCCGUGCUCAGAUAGUCGGAUGCCAAGUGCGGCCAUUAUGGAGCCCAUAAAAAGGAGUUCCAGUAUAUCAUUACCAUAGCAUCUCCACUCUGGCAAGACAGUUCAUGUGUGCAAUUCCUCCCAUUCUCCAAUUUUCAUAGACCACUCUUGAAAUUUAUGCAGUUCCGUGGGCACAUCUGUUUCAGAGCCAUUAGAGCAGAAUUGGCACAAGGUAAUCAAUCAAUAGGUCCCUUUCGUUUGGUUUCUGUGAAAUAUUCUUCCAGUGAUCGAUCACAUCUCAUGAUGAAGUUCUUAAACUUUCAUUCUGUCAGUCCCUAUAUAUACAUACAUCAUGAUGAUGGUUAAACUUCAAUUUGGAGUAAUAAUACUUAUGUUACGUUACCUCAAUAGGCUUUUUUUCAUCGGAGUGGAGGAAGAAUGCGUAGAACCCUCCAAGCACAGUUGCUGCGGCCAUGGCCCAAACCAGCACCUGAACCGGGAAAGGCAUGAUGGCCGCCACUUUAUAUGAAAACACGGCGGUGAGCAUCGUCGUCAGGAGCC